rnacentral:lncRNA from 1 species
UAUUCAAUAAUGUUAUUGGUCCCCCAUGUGCAGAAGGGCGCGCGCGUAUGGAAUAACAAGUAGGGACACUGCAACUAAUCUACUCUGCUCGUCCAGUCCCUAGCCUAUAAAUAGAUGCCAUGCUAGCUCUUGUUGUGCUCACAAUUAAUCCGAUUACACACGAGCUUCUCUCCCUGGCCAAGACACAACCAUAGUAUGAUGAAGAACAUGGCACUAGCCGGCAAUGGUAUGAAGAAGUUAAUCCUCGCUGUUCUCUUACUGUGUCUAGUUAUAGGGCAGAUACAAGUGGAAGCUAAGAGCUGCUGCCCAUCCACCACUGCAAGAAAUGUCUACAAUACCUGCCGUUUCACGGGUACAUCCCGUCCAACGUGUGCAAAACUGUCAGGCUGCAAAAUUAUCAGCGGGAACAAAUGCAAGCCCCCUAACGACCACCUCACCCUUGACCCGGACACUGGUAAAUAAUAAAUUUAUCUCACUUGAUUUCUUCGUGAUUUGAGUCGUUAAUGUAUUUUCCAUCUGAUGAAACGUAUUGGUUUUGCAUUGAAGAGGAAGUUAAUGUGCUUAACUUCUGCAAGUUGGGGUGUGCGUCGUCUGUGUGCAACAACAUCAACGCUGGUAAGCAACUUUUGCUCAGACAGAGAAAACAAUAAUCAUUAAUUAGCGGCAGCUAGAAUCCUAUAAUCUAAUAUAUAUAUAUAUAUAUAAUUUUAUCAGCUCUGGGAAAUGAAGAGGCGAACGAUGCCGUUGAGAGUUGCGACCAAGCCUGCUCUAGCUUCUGCAGCGUGCAUGUUGGCAGCGCCACCGUGGUUGCUUAAGCAAAUGCAUCCAACUAGAUCGUCCUUGUGCUGAAUAAUUGGAUAUCGUAUCCACUUAAAGCUGCCUUGUGUAGUACGUCUUUGUGUCUCUCUUUAUAUUCCAAUAAGGUCGGUGAUCUUGAUGCCACACACUCAGAUGUGUGUUCAUCUCCAGAUACUACUCCAUGCUACCUGCCCUUUGUGUUUUGUUCAAUAACUGGGUAUCAUAUCCCAGCCAGUAUGCCGUCUGUUUUGUGUUUGUUUCCUUCUAGUUCCAAAGGGGUCAUCAUGAUGUUACCUUCUUUCAAUAUGGUGCUUUGCAUGACUACUGUUGUAUGGUACCAUCUUGUGGCCAAUAAGUACAUCUUAUCCUAUGACCUUUGCUAUGACCCUUUGCAAAUAAGUAGAAGAUUGUUAUAAGCGUCAAUACUCCGUAUAAAUUGAUCGCUGCUGUGAGUUCCCUUUCAGCUUAUCGUAGGCAUACAUUAUUGCUAGCACGGUAAAGCCAACCAACACGAAUGAUGAAGUAAACGUAGCGGUACUUCUGUAUACCAACACCCUUACUUAAAUGUACCGGUGUCAUUCCCUACUGGCACAUAUAUUCUUAUAUGCUAGCCAGCUUGUAAAAUUAACCAAUUAAAAUAAUUAUUUCAAGAUAGAAAUAACUUAUCGGUUUCUGGAAGCAUGUGUAAUGUGAAUUCAAGGACUCGACGGAAGUUGAAUCACUUCAUCUAUAUUGCUUUCAGUAUUUUGGGUAACUAAAUUUAACAUUUGCACAUACAAAUGUUAAAGUACAAAUGUUAAAUCUAGUUACCCAAGCAGAAUAUGAAGAUAGUUUAUAGUAUAUAUAUACUAUAUAAAUCUAGUUAACAUUUAGUCUAAAUGUUAAAUCUAGUUACCUAAAAUCCUGAAAGCAAAAUGUAUAAAUAUAUAUCUUUUAAGGCAGUAUAAGCUUCGAUUCCUAUUGCUGCUCUGUUAAAUCUCAUCUUUCGUUGUGGCCCAACACUCUAGUAUGCAUGUUGCACCAAGCUUCUUUGAGCCGCUCUGCCCUCUGAUUUUGCUGCGUAGGGGAAUCUUUAUCAGGUUGGGCUACUUCCAGUUGUGCGAUGUAAAGAUUCGUAUUUUCUAGAAGGUAGACAAAAAACUCGCGUUCUCUUAAGGCAACAACCGGAAGAUUCUGCAGCGCACAGGGCAUACCAUUAUUGUAGAAACGACCUUUAGUACCGAUCUCCAACCCCCUUUAAAACUGGUUUUGCAACCGGUACCGUUAUGUCGGUCCUUUAGUACCAGAUCAAAUAAGUACCGGUUGGUAACCAGUAUCAACUUGUUUUGCGGCCAAAAAAAUAAAGAAAAAAACAGUCAGAAGGCUCGCACACACGCGCAUCACAUGAAAUAUGCGUGUGCGGGGUCCAUGGGAUUCGAACCCAUGAAAUCAAGCUGCACGCGACCCUUCGUUACCAUCUCACCUACAUAGCGCAUAUGCUUUCCUGAAGUAACCCGUGGAGGAGGCUUUAGUACCGGGUCAUAACACCACCCGGUACUAAAAAUGACUCUUCAGUACCGGGUCAUAACACCACCUGAUACUAGUAUCGGAUGGUGUAAUGACCCGAUACUAAAAGGCCUCUAGGGACCCUCAAAUUUGAACCCGGUACUAAUGCUAAUAUUAGUAGCGGGUCAAAGUGCAGCCAGAACUAAAGCAUGGGAUGAAAGGUCAUAUUUCUAGUAGUGUAUAGUUGUUGUGAAGGACUGACUUGGCUGUCCUCUCUCUUCUCCAUCCCCUUGGUCUUACGCCGCCGCUCGCACGCGAGCCGGUGCCCAACCAGAGGAGUGAGAGCUAGGGGCAGGUUGGGAGGUGGGGAUAGUGACUGGUGGCCAGGGUGAUGGUUGAUCCUGGUGGGGUUAGGGUUUCAGGGUUUUCGAGCUUCCUAUGGUCGGCGAACCUAGAGGAGAAGCUCAACAUCAGCUGCAACCCGCGAUGGUGGUGGUUUGGCCGGCGCCCGAGGCGAGGCAGCGCGGGAGUGCUGCCGGUGGGUUGGUGUUGGCACUCAUUAUUGACAACUAUUUUGUUCAUAAAAUAACACUCAAACUUGCUGCUGCUGCUGCUGCCAUCGCCACCCUAGCCAUAAUAUAAAGGCAAAAUUUGCUAAAGGACAUGCAAAAUGAUGCUAGUUUGCUGGCGGGCAUCGUUGACCUUGUAAUAUGCUACAAGACACUCUAGUUGUGUAUCAAUUUGCUGAAAGACAUUGCUAUGACUAAAAUAAUGUUUCUGGACUGAGUUGGAGAGAGAGAUGGAGUGAAAUGUCUGUUUUGCCCAUGACCCCACUGGUCAGAUCCUUCUUCUUCCACCCUCCUUUGUUCUUUCUUCAACCAUUACCCAGCUCCAGCGUGUUGCAGAUCUACGAGGGUGGCGGCCUGGGGCGAGGGGCAUCGCUCGCCCUUGGAGGAGCGCUGCGAGCGACGGCGCGGGGGCGGCAACAGCGCGUCAGAACCUGACUGUUCGUUAGCUCCUCUCGCUGCUGGGGAAGAAGGAGGGGGAUGGGCCAUGGACGGGGUUCCCUUGAAAACCUCAGCGUCGAGCUCGGGCGGCUACGCGCAGGCAGCACUAGGCUGCUUCACGGGGAGGGGGCGCGGCCAAUCAUUGGCACCCCACUGGUCCAAUGCUGAUGAAGAUGGUGCCAGCGUCGUGUGAGGACAUCUCAUCUCCUCGAGUUCCAUGGCCAGCACAGGUGAGCUGCCGCUACCACAAAACAGAGGUUUCGUGAGAGUCAAAAAACCUUAUGAAAAUAGCUAAAACCAUCAUGAAAAUAAUCCGUGACAUGACACUCUCACGAAAAUCCUCUCACAAAUAUGGUGCCAUGAAAAUACCAUUUUCAUGAGAGUGAACUGUCAUGAUUUUAUAAGCGUCAAUACUCGGUAUAAAUUGACUACUGCUGUGAGUUCCCUUUCAGCUUAUCGUAGGCAUACAUUAUUGCUAGCACGGUAAAGAGAACCAACACGAAUGAUGAAGUAAACGUAGCGGAACUUUUGUAUACCAACACCCUUACGUACCGGUGUCAUUCCCCACUGCCACAUAUAUUCUUAUAUGCUAACCAGCUUUGAAAAUUAAGCGAUUAAAAUAAUUAUUUCAAGAUAGAAAUAACUUAUCGGCUUCUCGAAGCUUGUGUAAUGUGAAUUCAAGGACUCGAUGGAAGUUGAAUCGCUUCAUCUAGAUUGCUUUCAGGAUUUUGGGUAACUAAAUUUAACAUUUGCACACACAAAUGUUAAUGUACAAAUGUUAAAUCUAGUUACCCAAGCAGAAUAUGAAGAUACUCUAUAGUAUAUAUGUACUAUAUAAAUCUAGUAAACAUUUAGUCUAAAUGUUAAAUCUAGUUACCUAAAAUCCUAAAAGCAAAAUGUAUAAAUAUAUAUCUUUUAAGGCAGUAUAAGCUUCAAUUCUCUGUUAAAUCUCAUCUUUCGUUGUGGCCCAACACUCUAGUAUGCAUGUUGCACCAAGCUUCUUUGAGCCGCUCUGCCCUCUGAUUUUGCUGCGUAGGGGAAUCUUUAUCAGGUUGGGCUACUUCCAGUUGUGCGAUGUAAAGCUUCGUAUCUUUUAGAAGGUAGACAAAAUACCCGCGUUCUGGAAGAUUCUGCAACGUGCACGUUGGCGCUGCCACCGUGGUUGCUUAAGCAAAUGCAUCCAACUGAAUCGUCCUUAAGCUGAAUAAUUGGAUAUGGUAUCCACUGCUUAAAGCUGCCAUGUUUAGUACGUCUUUGUUUUUCUCUCUUUAUAUUCCAAUAAGGUCGGUGAUCUUGAUGCCACACACUCAGAUGUGUGUUUAUCUCCAGAUACUACUCCAUGCUACCUACCCUUUGUGUUUUGUUCAAUAACUGGGUAUCAUAUCCUAGCCAGUGUGCCAUCUGUUUUGUGUUUGUUUCCUUCUAGUUCCAAAGGGGUCAUCAUGAUGUUACCUUCUUUUGAGGUGUCUAUGAUGACUUCGUUAAUAUCAAUAUUAACCAAUUCAAUCUGUCUUAACUAUUUGUAAGGGGUAUGAUGUAUGCAUGAUUAUAACAAUGAUUGCGCAUACAAUCGCCGCCAAAGAAACGGUCAAUACCAUUAAGACAUAUUACAGACAAUUCUCAUAAUCUAUAAUGAAUAUACAUAUUCACUACUGCAGAAGACUGUCAUUUGUAUCGGCUCAUACGUGCCAGGGCAAAGGUCACCCUUGCAUUAAGUACAUUUGCACGGUAAAGACAACCAACACGAAUAAUGAAGUAAACAUGCCGGUGCUUUUGUACACCAACACGCUUACUUAAAUGUACUGGUGUCAUUCCUCACCGGUAGCCGGCUUGAAAAUUAACCAAUUAGAACAAUUAUUUAUUGUAUCGGUGUGAUUUUUGACCUAUUGGAAUAUGAAUUUGACCGUUACUGCAUUCGUCAAGACUCAAGAGAGAAAUAACUGAUCGGCUUCUUAGAGCGUGUGCAAUGUGAAAUCAAGGACUGGAUGGAAGUUGAAGCGCUAGCACUAGUAGAGAAACGACUUUCCAUCCACCCCCUUUUGUCCCGGUUUAAAGUUGGCUCGGGAUAAAAGGUUCACCAACCGGGACUAAAACUCAGUCACUGGUGGGAGGCUCACCAACCGGAACCUUUUAUCCCGGUUGCAAAGGCUAAUGGGAAAAAAAGACUCUGAGAGGCCUUUUAUCCCGGUUUGAAACACCAACCGGGAUAAAAGACCCCCCUUUUAUCCCGGUUGGUAACACCAACCGAGAUAAAAGGGUCAAGAGCCUUUUAUCCCGGUUGGAAACACCAACCGGGAUAAAAGACCCCCUUUUAUCCCGGUUGGUGUUUCAAACCGGGAUAAAAGGGCCCCCACGAGGUGACUGGAAGGUGACUGGAAGGGGAUUAAAUCGUGGGGGACCCUUUUAUCCCGGUUGGAAACACCAACCGGGAUAAAAGGGGGUCUUUUAUCCCGGUUGGUGUUUCCAACCGGGAUAAAAGGGUCCCCCACGAGUUAAUACAAAAGGAUAGUAUCCCCUACAUAGUCAGAUGUGGUGUGUAGGUGGGAUGGUAAGGAAGCUACGCGCGAGCUCCGGAAUUUUUUUUUUUUUUUUUUGCAGCGUCGGCGCUCUCUACCCUUUUAUCCCGGUUGGUAUUACCAACCGGGAUAAAAGGGGGUCUUUUGUCCCGGUUGAGUGACCCGGGAUAAAAGACCCCCCCUUUUUUCCCCGGUUAGUUUAUCCCGGAUGCAUUUUCGGGAUAAAAGCACCCUACCAACCGGGAUUAAAGCUCACUUCUCUACCAGUGUAGCUUCAUCUUCCGCUGCAAGUUAAUUGCUUGGAUAAGAAGUUGUAGCCGCUGCAAGUUAUAAAUAGUCCCGCUGAUGCUGUGCUCCGAAGUCUAUACUAUAUAUGCGGAAACUAGAUUGCUUUCAGGAUUUUGGGUAACUAAAUUUAACAUUUGUACAUAAAAAUGUUAGUUUACGAAUGUUAAAUCUAGUUACCCAAGCAGAACAAGAAGAUAGUAUAUAGUAUAUACUAUAUAAAUCAAGUUAACAAUUAGUCUAAAUGUUAUAUCUACUUACCCAAAAUAUUGAAAGCAAAGAAAGAAUAAGUAUAUAUCUUUUGUUGGAAAAUUGGUCCACGGAGAGGCCCAUUUAGGCCUCGUUCGUUUCACCGGGAUGGGAUUCCAGUCAGGAUUACUUCCAAGUUCGGUUUGAGUGAUUCCACCCGUGUCACUCAAUCCGGCUAGGAUUCAUUCUAUGGGUGAGGAGGUAUGGUUUCAAUCCAGGCCAUCUAAUGUAGAAGGAUUCCAAUCCAGGCCGGUUUUCGUUCCAGGCCAGACUAAAACGAACAACACUUUCAAUGCAAGUCUGGUUUCAAACCGGGCCAUUUCAAACCACCCGGAAUGGACCUCGUUCCAGGCCAAUCCGGUGAAAACAAAUGAGGCCUUAAUGGAAUCCCAAAGCAAGAGUUCAGUGGCAUUCUAUAGUCCCAUGCUGCUAGUUUGAGUUGGUCGAAGCCAACUUAAAUAGGAGAGCUCUCUCACUUCUCUAAAUACGUAACUGAAGGAGAGAAGGGGGCUUGGGUUACACAACGCACGCACGCACGCAUAUUUGCGUUCUUUUCGCGUAACCAACCGCGUGACUUGAAACUUGCGACGUAGCGUGCUGCUAAGUCAAGUUGAUAUAACCUUUUUGCCGUUUGCAUGUAAUCUUUUGACAACGGUCAUUGGAGGUGAUAAGCACGCAGUCAAUACCUUAAUCUUGAGUUAAUAGGGUGGUUACUACUGCCAAUUAGUGGGGCAAUUUUGUAGGGGAAACGGUUAGCAGAGGGCUACCGUCUUCUCUAUAAGAAGUUCUGGAGACGUCCAGGAACACACAUGUACAUGUGAGAGACCCACAAAUUCCUUCCCUUCUCCCUUUUCCAUGUGGUGAAGUGUGCUGUGGUACUGAGCUGCUUGAUCUCGCCGCUCUUCUCCUUGGCAUGCACCGAGGAGGAGGGUGAGCGGUAUCUCCGAGCUAUUGCCGUCAGGAAGCCUGCACGAGGGACAACAAAAAGUUUUUGGGUAGCGCAACUGCCAGCACAACUCUCCCUCCGCCUCUUCUUCACGGUUGAUGGCCACCACAAGCAUAAACCUCGCCUUCGCAUCCACGCAAAAGGGUCGCUGGGGUGCCUUCUUGCAUCGCUUCUCAGCCUCCUUGACUUGCGGCCAGCCAAGAACUGCGCCACCACCUCGGGUGCACGCCACCACUCCAGGGCUGCUACCCCAUGCCUGCGGCCGCCGCCGGCCACCACGCGUGUGCAACCGCGUCGCACCGCUUCCUUGCUUUGUGCCACCACUGCUGCUGUACCACCAGCUCCACCACCUUGGGCUGGUCGCCAGAGUGACUGAUAACUUAUUAUCUGUAACUACUAUUAACUCAGGGAUACAUGCGUCUUUUGCUUCUCCUACUAAUAUGUCCUAAAAUAUCUAGGAUGCCUUAUAUUUCUGGACAGAGGAAGUAUUUGAAUAAAAUGAACCAAUUUAAAAAAAUGUGUUGUACACUACUACAGAAAGACCUAUCAGUGUCAAACCCAAAAAUGUUGUCACCGCCAGUUUUGGGCAUCAUUGGUGAAAGGUUGGCGGUGAUGGGCUUUCCCUUCAACAACGGCACUGGAGCCGACGGUGAUUGACAUUAGAAAACAAAAAAGGGGACCCUACCUAGCCACCCCUGCAACCCGGCCGGCCGUGCCUCCCCUCAUCCCCACCACCUCGCCUCCCCAUGACCCCCCGCCGGCGCCCUUGCGCCUAGCCCCCUCAACUGCCCAGCCGGCCACCCUCAUCACGAGAGAGAGGUGCAUGUUGUAUAAUUGCGUGAAUUUUUUAAUGUUUAAUUUCAUGUAAGUUCCGUGUAAUAAAUUGUACAAGUUUUAUUGUAUAUAUGAAUUCCAUAUAUAUAUAUAUAUAUUUAUAAUUUAAUGUAUGGUUUCAUGUGUAUAUUUCAAUCAUGUGUAUAUUUAGUAGAUUGCCGAUUUUCUUUUUCUACUAGACAAGGGUUGAUGUAUAAUUACGUGUAUAUGUUUAUUGUACGGGCAAUUAGGACAAGUUUUGUAUAAAUUUCUUUUAUUUGAUGGUUGUUGUAUGGUUUCAUGUAUAUACAUUUAUUGUACUACUUUAGACAAUUUUUAAUUUAAUGUUUCUAUGAUUAGAUGUGUGUAUAACUAAUUGUAUUAUUAGUUAAGAUGGGAGCUAAAGAGGAUGAAAGGUAUAUAAUGGAGCAGAUUAUUGCUAGCUCAAACGUUGCAAGAACCUACACCGAGGGUGAGGGUAGCUAGGUGGACAUGUACCUCAACAUGUCCAGUGAUGGCAAUGACGAUGAGGAGCACGAGCAUGACAUCUAUGAUAAUGCGGAACAAGACAUUGCAGAAUUGGAAGGUUCUAAUGAGGUGUGCUUCAUGUUGACAAUCUAGUUGGCUUUUUUUCGUUGGUCACACCUUAGUUACCAUAGAACUUCGUCUCGGGAGAAGAUUGGUGGUGGUAUGGUGAUUGGAAUUUUAUUUCCACGAAAUCUGAUUUCCAUCGAAUCAUAUCCCUUGUAUUUAUCUUCUUUUUAUUUGUGAGAGCAUCUUCUUUAUGCUUGCAAAACAAUUCAAGUGCACAUACUACCCCUAGGGUGACGAUUGGGAGUAGAAAUAAUUGCCAACAAAACAACACCACAUCCUAAGAUUCUUAACUUGUGGCAUAAUUAGUCUAGUAAAAAGAAAGAUAAAAACCUAAUGGGUGUAUGUGAGUGCAAUGUGUAUAUGCAUAUGAGUGGAAGGCAUAUAAGCAAAGACAAUAUUUACACAUAGUUCUAAACACCAUGUUUACAGCUAGGUUGCUGAAUUUCUCCAUAGCCAUAGAGAUUAAUUAACCAAGGUCAAAACACGAUGUCUAUCCCAAGAUCAGUAAUUAUUUAUAGCACAAGAAAAAGAAAGCGCAUUGCAAAGUUUAUAAACCAACCAAUACAGCAUGAAAACAAGAUGAAUAGCUAGCAAGGUUUAUUAAACUGAAUGAUGACGGUCUGUAAGCAAGUUUAAACACCAUCUUUACACAAGAUUGCAAAUGGAAAAUGCCCAUAUGAAGCACUAACAUGGAUAUGAAAUCAUUCAUCAUAAAGCGUAAAGAACAACCAAGCCAACCAUAUGCAAAGCAUGAAUGGAAUGCAAUGAAGGUGCAAGAGAACAUUUUUGGAUGAACACAUUAUGAUGAUGGCAAAAUGCAAUGCAUGCAGAAAAAAUAAAUAUGAACAUGAAUAUGAUGAUCAGGGGCGGACCCACUAUUGUGGCCUGGGUAUUCCUCGGCAUACCCAAUAUUUUUGGGAAAAUGUUUAGUAGUUUUUAAUGGCAUAUACAUGUAUAAUAUAGUUUAGGUGUUAAAAUUGAUAUUCACAGCUAUUUUGGGCUCCAAUUCGCGUCCAAACCAACCUGGCCCACAGACCGCACCCGGCCGCCCGGCCCAUCGGCCCAUCUUGUCACUGAUCCUCCCACCACCACACUCAGCCCGUCAGUUAGUCAGGUCCCGAGCUCCUGCCUGACCUAGUCCGCUACCACCGCCAGGCGCCAGGCACAGCUGUACACGCCGCCCCCGUCCACCCACGUCCGCCGCACGGCCGCGUCGCGCCCCCCCCCGGCGCCCGCUGCUGCCAGAACCCAUUAGGCCUCCACCGGCAAGUCCACCCACAGUCCCGCGCGACGCGGCAGCCUCUUGGCUCUCGGCGCUCGCGGCGCGCCAAUGCCUGCGCAGCCCCAGCAGGCGACUGCCCCCCCCCCCCCCGCAUCGGGCCUCGGCCCCUCCCCAGCUCCCCCUCCCCCCUCCACCAGGACUGCCUGCUGGCCCCCACCGCGAGGUAAUCGAAAUGGACUGCUCAAUCUCUCAAUCUGUUGACAUGAUGCACACGGUUGCAAAAAUAGAUGUGUCAAAAUAGAUGUAUUGCCAAUUGCUAUAGAUGCAUAUGGUUGACAUGAAGAAGUCAAAAAUGACAUUUGGUUCCUUGUAGGCAGUCAAAAAUGAAGAAGUCAAACAAUAUUGAUCUGAAAUCAAUGCGGGAAAGGGCUACGAAGACACACGGGUAGAUUCCCUUGUGAACUUUUUAUGUCGUUCGUCUAAAUAUAUUUUUGCAAUGGGCAUACCCUACUCUGAAAUCCUGGGUCCGCCACUGAUGAUGAUGGUCUAAACAUAAAACAAGCCUAGAUUAAUUAGCUACAACUGAAAUUAAGCAAAGGUUAAUGUCAUUGACCCUAGCUCUAUCCUAGCUUUUACUAAAGUCCCGGCACAUAUAGUGGUUGGGCCCACUCUCUCUACUUCCCUCUCUGCUGCAUGCACACACACGAGCAACUGGAGGCCCAACAAAGCCCAGAAGGGUUCGGCCGAACCCGUCCGAUCCAGUCUGAGCGCCGCUCCCUCCCAGCCUUCGCGCAGAUGCUCCUCCAACGUUCCUUGACCCCUCCCUCAGUGUCCCAUUGGGUUUAACAUUGUAGGAGAGGAGUCCCUUUUUUAAAAUCUCAACCACCUCCUCUCCUCAUUCACUCCACUCUCAUCUCCAUCAAACUCACCAAGAUCCACAUCGGAAAUACCUGCUUACCACCAUGGCUGGCAAAGCCCUCGUCCCUUUCACCAACUUGGGCUUGACCAUUGAUCUCGAUGGGAAAAUCACUCCAGCAAAUGUCAUUGUCCCUGUCGGCGAUCUGGCGAUGGAGGAGGUCCAGGCACUAGAGGUCGAGCCCCUAGCCAUCAUACCGCCCAAGGGGUAAAGCAGGAGCAUGACAGGCGCUGCUAGGGGUUCAGCCGAACUCCCAGUUCAGCCAAACGAGGACGGCGUCGCCUCGGCCUCCCGCUCGACUGCAUGCUUCCCCUUGCCAAGGAGGACUCCAGAACAGCGGGCGCGUGCGUCAAGUCCCUACAAAAGGCUGAAAUACAAUGAAUAUCCAGGGUCACCCUUGAAGAUGGGUGAACGCUACGCCGGGUCCUUGUUUGACUAGUACGGCGAUGCAUUCUGCCACCGCUAUGUCGUUGUCGAGAUUAGCGGAUCAAGACUUAGACUAGUAAAUUUCUUUUAUGCGCGUAAGGCUUCAGAUGGUGGCGUGGGAGACAUGGGUUUUAUACUAGUUCGGGCAAUGGAAUACCCUACGUCCAGUGUCUGGAGCUGCUUGUGUUGCCCACGCGGGGUUCUGUAGUAGGGGUUACAGGUGUGCGAGAGAGGGAGCUAAUCCCAGGUCUCUUAGGCGUGUUCCGGUCCUCUAGAUGGGAGAAGUGUGUUCUGUUUGCUUGGGAGUAUCGGUUGUGUCUGAGUUGUCUCCGGAGCCUCCUCCCGUCUCAGGUCCCCGAUUCUCCUUUCAUAGCACAAGGAGACCAUCGGGGUUACAGACGAGACCGAGCGUGGGGAGGAGUAAAGAGAUAAACAUAGCUAGGUAAAAAUACAACAAGAAAGGGGGGAACCAAGUUUCUAGGUCACCGGCGUCCUCGCCGGCCUUCGACUUCCGCCGGCGCAUUUGUCGGAGGAGGGUGGCCGCCAUCGCGUUCUGUCGAUGGCUUCCUCGGUGACUGUAGCCACCGGGCGUGAUGAUGGCAUUUCGUCGUGACCCUUUGUCUGUUGGGGGAGGCGGCGGAUCCUGCCAUUCUGCUGACGGCUCGCGGAGUGCGAACGUCGCAUCCCUGCCGCUGGGCACGCGGGGCGCGAGAACGUGCGAGGCUUCCCCCUACCCCAGGCGGCGCAGGCCAUGAGUGCCCUGUGGCAAAUCGGAGGAGGCCGCAGCUACUGUAGCUUGUACUGUGCAGCCACGUAUGGGUACUUGUGGCAGGUUGCGUGGUGGAUGCGGAUAUCCUUCUCCCUGACAGAUCUGCGGCGCAUUUAUGGCGAGAUCGACAUGGGGACCCACAAGACCCGCGCCCAAGGCGGAUACUUGUCUGGAGGGCCCGGGUUAGCCUGACCCCCUACGCUUGGGGUCGGGCGAGGCGGAGACUUGCGGCGGGGCGUCGGACGCUCCCGACACUAGACCUGCGGUCGCGCAAGGCGGAGCUUGGUCUUCCGGGGGUCGGGGGUGCCGGACCCCAGGAUGCGGGGUCGGGCGAGGUGGAGCGUAAUUCUUGCCUCCCAUGUUGGGCCGAUGGCAGUCUUUGUUACCUCUAGUGGGCUUGGGCCUUUAUGUUUUGUUGUUUCCAUGGGCUUCGAGAGGUCGUUAAUAUUUCCCCCCAACAGUAGCCCCCGAGCCUGUGGUGGAGUGGGGGCGCUCCUCCGGAGGCUACUAUCAUCGCCCCUAGGGAAUCCUCGCAGUUGAUCCGGGAUAGGAGGUGUUGUUUGCACGGCUUGACCGAGGGGGUCGAUUAGGCGACGCAUCCUGUGAGCGACUCGGUGCGGGAGGGUUUCUUGUUGUUCCCUUCUGUCUGAGAGCCUUAAGUCGAGACCACCUGCGUGGCCUUUGGUUGCAAGGCCAGCCCCCGAGCCCCCGCACGUUGCAGGGGACCGGUCGGAGGCUAGGUCGACUUUUGUUCAUUACCCUCAAGCGUCUGUUCGCUAGGACGGAGGGGGCGAGCCGUGCCAUGCUAUCCUCAUCGGACGAACCAUGGUGCUCAUUGAGUUACUAACGGGUUGAUUCGAGUGGGAUCCCGGUCCCCGUUCGGGGGGGGUCCGGCUUGGGCCAAGCUGGUGGCGUACCCCAGGCUCCGGUCGGCCAGUUCAUAUAGUUCCUGAGUCCGUUCGGUCGGACCGGGGGCUCAUUGCCUUUCUUCGGGGAAAAACCAUGAACUUUGAUGCCGGUCCAGACUCGAAUGUGAGAUUGAGACGCCCGGGGCUGUCGCGUGCCCGGGUGAUGGCCGCUAGCGGACCCGUCUCCUCUCACCCCUCACUCGGGGGUAUCCUGAGGCGGCUGUCGAACCCGUGGCGGGCCAGCCUUCGAACCUCUGGAUCGUAAUGGGCCGUAGGGGCGUUUUCAGCCCCGUAUCCCUUUUUACCUUUUGGUGGGCCUUGGGCCGAAUCAUGGAGGAGGUCGGGCCUUGGGCCGGAUGCGGAGGAUGUCGUGCCUUGGGCCGGAUGUGGGGGACGUCGUGCGUGUCUUCCGGGAGACGAAGUGGUGGAGGGUGCCAACCCGCGAAUCGAGGGAGGAGGGGAUGUUUCUACUGCAGGUCAUGCGCACGGUUUCCGAAAAGGCAGCGGGCGUGACGGGACGUACCUCGCGCCGCAUUUAUUGCGAUGGGGGCGUCUGUUCUGCUUCCCUCGUGCCUUCCCUAUAAAACGAGGACUUCGCCUCGCCGGUUCCGCCCGCCAUCUACCUUCAAGCCUUUUCGCCUCCUCGCGCGCCCUUAGCUUUCCUGUGCCCGCUUCGUCUUCCUCCGCCCAGUGCCGCGCCCUUUCUCCCCAUCCGCCGUCGAGUUCUUCUCCCUCCGGCGAUGGGAUCCUGGGCGCGUUCCCACUUCGGCCCCUCACGCGCCGAAGGCCUAGUGAGGAAAGGCCUCCUUUGCGAGAGGACGGAGACGGAUGAGUGGGGGUUCCCUGAGAUGGAAGAGGUGCCGACUCCGCCCACCGGCUACGUCGUUUCCUUUGCCCACUUCCACGAGAGGGGGUUUGCGACUCCGCCGAGCCUCUUCUUCCGCGGGCUUUUGUAUUACUACGGGCUUGAGCUGCAGCACCUCAACCCCAACGGGAUUCAGCACGUCGCGGCGUUCGUUGCGGUGUGCGAGGGGUUCCUGGGCAUUGAGCCCAACUUCUCGCUGUGGAAGUACUUCUUCACGGUCAGCCUAUACCAGAAGGCCGAGAAGAGGGGAAGCCAGCAGCGGUCGACCCCGGUGCCGAUAGGGUGCGUCGGAAUCCACCUCUGCCAUACUCGCGCCAAGGAGUAUAUCGCGAUGAAGACCGCGGCAUCCCACAAGGGGUGGCACCAGCAAUGGUUCUACGUGAAGAACUACUCCAACCCCCCCUGCCGGAGUUCACCGGCCGCAUUAUUGAAGCGGCGCCGGAGGUGUGGGUGUACGGCCCGGUGGAGAAGGAGAAGAAGCGGAUCACCGGCCUGCUGCAGGCCAUCGAGCACCUGAAGGAGAGGGGACUGACCGGAGCCGGAGUCAUCGGGGCGUACCACGCCCGGCGGGUGGCGCCGCUGAUGCUCCGGGUCCGCUCGCUCGCCGACAUGACCCCCGGUGCUCUCACCGAUGGCACUGUCCUCGCGACGGGUGCUCUCGCUGCCUCCGAGAUCCGGCAGCGGAUCCGGGAGGCGCUGGAGGACAAGGACGCCGAUUACCCGGUGCCCGGCCACCCUCCGAUGCGCCCGGACGAGAAUUUCAUUGAUCUGGUAAGGAUUUUGCGCGCCAGUUUCCCUCUCUUGCGUUUCUUGGUAUGCCGUUCUGACGCGAGGCCCUCUGUGUUUGCAGGGUAGCAUGACCCGGGUCGUCGACUUGCGUCCGCCAGUGUCGGAGGACGCCGAGUGGCGGUAGCAGAACCGUCUCCUUGCCGAGAAGCAAAAGUGACGCAAGGACAAGAGACAGCGAAGAAGAAGAAGAGGGCCGCCAAGGAGUUCCAGCGGCGGCGGUGGGGAUAGGUCGUGUCGGAUGACGAUGACGAUGAGAAGGAGGAGGAGGAUGACGAGGAGGAGGAGGAGUUUAUCCUGUCCCCCCGGUCAGGGGCGCUUGUUAUCCGGGAGCCGCGCUCCCAAGCGGCCAUGGGGGACAAGGCGGGCGAGCUGCCUGCCCGGACCCGAUCCUGCGAAGCUUUGGGGGCGCGCCCCAGGGGUCGGCGCAGAGCGCCCCCCGGGGGUCGACGGAGCCGACCCCCAUCCCUACACCUGCAGCCCAGGAGCAGAGGAGCAGCGACAAGCGGCCGUUGCCAGAUGCCCCGGGGUCGGCGUCCAGCUCAGAGGCGAAGCGCGCGCGCCGCCCUUGCGCUGGGGGAACGUGAGUUGAAUUUCCUUGCGAAUCUCGUUCCUUUCCAUGCAUUGUGUUUGUUUCCGCUGAUGCUGUUUGUUGUCUCACAGCACCGCCCCUCAAGGCCUUGUCCCGCCGUUGGCGCCAAAGAAGGCGUUGCGGUGUUGUCGCCUCUGCGGGGCGGACCGCGGCUCCGCCGGCGGCGAGUGGCGGGGUCACUGGUGAGACCGCGGGUCCUACCGCGGAGGUGGCCCCUGCGGCGGCAACCGGUGGAGUGGUGCCACCGCCGGGCAUGGGACAGGGUCUGGACCCCGCUCCGUCCUCCGCCUCUUCGGCCGACCCCGCGGUGCAGAGUAUCGCUCCUGGGGGCCCUCAGGCCGGGGAGGUGAUUGACCUCGACGCCGACGAGGUGGAGGAGACGGCGGCGGUGGAGACGGGGGCGGUUGCCCCAGCGGCCAUGACGGGGACGACGACGGCGACGGGGGAAGGAGAGUCUACCCCCGCGGCCACGGCGGGGACAGUGGCGACAGAGGAGGCGGGGACGCCCGCCCCGGCGGCUGCGACGGAGGAGGCGGCGGUGACGGAGACGGGGGCUUCCGCCCGGGAAGCCACAGCCGAGGUGGCAGCGGCGACGGAGGUGAAAGUGCCUGUUCUGGAGGCCACGGUGGGGGUGGGGACGCCUGCCUCGUGGCCACGACGGAGGGCGAGGCGGCCCCAGGGACACUUGCUCCGGCACCCGCGUUGGAGGCGGUGGCGCCGACGGGUUGGCCCGUGGCGGCCUCGACGGGGGCGGGGGUGCGUGCGCCGGGACCGUCGGUGAGGCCGGCGACUUCCGGGAUGGUGGUGCCCGUCUUGACGGCGGCGGCGGCGCGGUCGGCCCCCGCCCUUGCCUCUACCACUCCCAUUCCCAAGGCGUGGAGCGGAUCCGUCCUGCGUUGGUCGUCUCGUGACGACCCGCAGAGGCCCCUCUUCACGUUGGAUGAUGCCACAGAAUGGGGCAAGUGGCAGGCGCUGCAGGGCGGACUCGCUAACGUCCGCGCCGCUCUAUCUUCGGCGUUGGGGGAGCUGGACGGCGUCAUCUUCCCCGGUGGCCGGGUAUGGUGCUUUCUCCGUUGGUUAUUUUCUUCCCGUUACUUCGUCCCUGAUGGCACAUUGUUCUGCAGGCCCUCCAAGAAUGUAGCCGGGGAAAAUCUGAUUUCCUUUGGCUCGAGCAGGGGCUCUGGGAGCGCUUCAACUUGGAGUUGCAGCGGACCGGGGAGCUGACCAUGCAAGUCGCCACCGUCUAGCAUGUCAUCGACGAUCUGCGAAGGCACGAGCAGGCGGCACAGGAGGACGCGCGGCGGGCGGAGGCCAAGUUCCAGGUCGUUGCCGAAAGGGCUCGCUGCGACCGCGAGGAGUUCCAGGCCGUUGCCGAAAAGGCCCGCCACGACGCUGAGGAGCUCGCACGGCUGAAGGUGCAGCAUGAAGCUCUUCAGAAGAGCGGCAGAGGGCCUGGCAGGACCGGGACGCCGAGAAGGUCCGGAAGGAGGAGGCUGAGAAGGUGGCGGCCAACCUUGGGGCUGAGGUCAGCCAGCUCCAAGUGCAAGCGCGAGAGCUUCAGGCCUCCGUGGCCCAGGGGCUCGACCAGGAGCGCCAGCUGAAGGCCUAAUCCGAGGGUAUGACUCUGUUUAUUUCUUUGUCUUUGUGAUGUUGCGGUGAUAUUUUAUUUGGCGGGUUCUUCUGGAUGAUCCUUGCAGAUGAGCUCAACUGGCUGAGGGAGGUGCUUGACGCGGAGCGCGCUGAGCACGGCGACCUGCGGGACGCGGUCCGCGUCAUCUGUGACUUCCUUAGUGUGGUCCAGGGGGAGGGGACGAGCUCGCUGGCGGCUCGUGUCCUCGGGACGUACCGCCGGACCAGCGAGAUCGCCCUGGAAGCGCUUCGCACCGGCUUGAGGCAAGCCUUUGGGGUCUUCGGCUCCCACUAUUCCGGCAUCAACUUCGCCGGGAUGAGCGGGGGAUACGCCACCGGCUACUACGAGGCCGAGCUGGAUGAGAUCGACGUGUCGGUGCUCAGCCCGGCGGAGGCCUUGGUGAAGCUCCUCGAGGAUGAGGCCGUCCCGCCCGAAGAUCCCCGGACGAGUUAACUAUAUCGGGCUGGCGCCCCAGAUGUAAAUACGUUAGGGAAAGACUUGUUUUUUGUGAGGGCCGUAGAGGCCUUUUCUAUGAAUUGUCGUAAAAAAGUUUUUGAUUCCCUUUCUUGCUUUUUGGACUUGGAAAGUUUAGAGCACGUUGUCGGGCGUGUCAGUAAGCUUUGAUGAGCGAAGGCACCGUAGCCGCUGGGGCGUCGUUUUUUUUGCAGUCCGAUCAAUCUUGCCUGAACACCGUUCGUGCACUUUCUCCUUUUUAUGCCCAAAAGUUCAGAAAGAGGGUCGGCUCGGAAAGAGAAAGCGUUUUGAGAGGGUGUCAAGUGGCUUAGGUACUUGCGGCAGGUUGCGUGGUGGACGCGGAUAUCCUUCUCCCUGACAGAUCUGCGGCGCAUUUAUGGUGAGAUCAACAUGGGGACCCACAAGACCCGCGCCCAAGGCGGAUACUUGUCUGGAGGGCCCGGGUUAGCCCGACCCCCUACGCUUGGGGUCAGGCGAGGCGGAGACUUGCGGCGGGGGGUUGGACGCUCCUGACCCUAGACCUGCGGUCGGGCGAGGCGGAGCUUGGUCUUCCAGGGGUCGGGGGCGCCUUACCCCGGGAUGCGGGGUCGGGCGAGGCGGAGCGUAAUUCUUGCCUCCCAUGUUGGGCCGACGGCAAUCUUUGUUACCUUGGGUGGGCCUGGGCCUUUAUGUUUUGUUGUUUCCAUGGGCUUCGAGAGGUCGUUAAUAUUUCCCCCCAACACUAUGAGGAGGACUUGUGGGCAGAAAGUCAGCUACCACAAACUUGCCUCUGAAUAUUUGGAGUGCAAACAUUGGAUGGUGGUUGUGGAGAGCCCCAGCCAUACCUCGCACCCGUGGAGAGGUAAUUGUCGGAUUGCUUGGUUCGUCUCUAGAAUGCGACAAGGUCAGGCGCCACCUCUCACUGCUGCCAGUCAGAAGGCCGAGGGGCCAGUUUCAACAUAGUAAUGAGAAUCUCCGAAGGCCAAUAUGGUUAAGCAGCUAACCUCCAUGAUCAUAGACUUACGUUUAGAAAAUAGGAGGCUUAGCGAUGCGUUAACAGAGCAGAAGUUAGAAACAGAAGAACUUAAGGACGACUUCCGUGUCCUCCGCCUUGGUCUUUGUGCUAAGAUAAAGCGCUUGUACAAUGCCACGGGGAAUGACGGUCUCUACGAUGCAGCUCAAUAGACGUGCCCCUUGUAUCCUUUCCUUUAGGCACUUUAGAAUAUGUUUAUUUGUUUUCCUUCAUUUUAAUUUCCAAUAGAUUGUUAGCGCCUCCAAUUUAAUUUCAAUAAAGUGUAGACUCACCGGUCAUCCAACUUGAUGGAGUCCUUUUGUCACCUAGUUGUCUUUGGAAGAAGUAGCUGGGUACAAAAUAAGUGUGGGGGAGAGCCACAGACUCUCUAGAGCUGAAACAAUGCACAACACCCACAAAUAGAGAAAACCACGCUGCACCAGCACGUACGUGAAAGUGGAGCCAGAGCUGGACCCAUAGGGGUUUGGCCAACCCAAGGGGUGGCCCACUCGGGCCAUCUUCAUCCACCGCGUCGGUUUGUGUCUCUUUACCCCUGAUCUCCCUGAUUCAUGAGUUUGAAUGAAUUUUAAAUCUGAUCAACUAAUUCAAACUCAACUAAAAUGAAUCAACUGCUCCACCUGCUCUACAUGUUUUCUAUGGUUGGCUUGCAUAUGUUUUAUUUCAUGCUUAUCAUCUUGAUGCUUGUGAACAAAUAUCUUUAGGACAGCAUGCUCAUCUAAGUAGUUGAUGUGUAUGAUAUGGUUCGAUGAUAUGAUCUUCACUCUUAAUGCUUAAGUGCUUGGGAAAAUCUAUUUGAAAAUUUAAAAGCCUUUUUGAAAUCUCCUCUUUGAUGUGCCAAAGUCCUACCAAAGCCAUAUGAUAAGUUAUCUUGAAAAACCAUUUGCAUAUGUUGCUUGUCUUUGCAUUGAGCUUUGUCAAAUUGGUGUGACCCUUGUCACAAUUCUUUUCAUACUUUCAUGAUCAAGACUCAUGUGCACGCCAUAUACCCCUUGCUAUGCUUCUAUGAGAUGUUAGCAUUGUACCAUCCAUUCAUUCCACAAAAUAAAUGCUCCACCAUAUGUGUUGGUCUCCUUCUAAGAUUAUUGUUACAAAAGAGAUAUGGGCUAUCAAAAAAAAAUAUGAAUGUCCAAGAAAGUUGGACACAUGAAUGUCCAAUAAAAAGAAAAAGAAAGAUAGCCAUGUCCUCAGAAAUAUUUACAAAGGGAGAGAGAUCAUACAAAAAGGAGUUUCCAUUCCAUCCACCACAUCCAUACAUGUGCACAUCUUGAUCUGAUUGUAUGACUUAUUUUUCUCUUUGGAUCUGGUCUUUGACUUUGCAAUAUAUGUGAUGCAAGCAUGCCUUAUCCUUCAUAGCCUACCUUGAGCUCCACAUAUAGCCAUCAUUAGAAGUAGGAUGAAGAAAGGCAAGUCUAAUGCCUUGGUGAGGACAUAUACACAUUGAGUGAUCUGAGAGAAUCAAAUGAGGAGCUAAGCAAGGUUUUGUUUUGAAAACUAAUUGAAAAAUCCCAAGCUACUUGGCAUAAGGAGUUGAGGUGACUUGAUUCAAGACCAUUACAUUCCUCAACUACCCAAGAUGGCAUGAUAGACACUCCAAAGUUCACAAGUGCAGGUAUGGUUUGGAAUAUCUUUUAGGCUCGCUUCAUACCUUUGAAAGUUAUGUUUCACCUUAGUCCUUUCUCGUUCACUCAAGGAUAAGCAAAGGCUAAGUGUGGGGGUGUUGUUGAUGGCUCUUAAGUACAAAAUCUGCGCCAUCAACUCUUGCAUAAACACAUAAAAUAUGAGCAUCAACAAUAGUGGUAGGAGUUAUUACAAACGAAUUCCACAAGUCUUGGUGAAUAUUUGUAUGCAAGCCCAAUAGGAGAGAAAAGACACCUCAAAAGCAAGGAAACACACUCUCAACCAAUCAAGAGCAAGCACAUGGAACCAUGGGCCCACAACCAAAAGGAAAUCGACUACAUUCCAAACACCCUAUACCCACAUGAGAACCCAUAGGGCAGUGACCCAGAGCAAAGGUGAUGCCAGAGUGUAGAUGGUAGUUAGCAUGCCAAAUUUUGAACCGCAAGCGCUCGGAUUAGUUGUUUCUUUUCCCUUAGAGAUUCCCCCAAGGUUUAUCAAUCCAUGGAACAAGGGAUUUGCACGUUUCACUAAGCACUAAUCAAUGUAAUUGAAAGCUUUUCGAAUAAGAUAUGAUUAUGCUAACAAAGGAACUAAGCAAUCUAGAUUAAGAUGGAUAGAGAGUACAGGUUGUGAACAAGAUAGAUUAAACGCUUGUAGAUGCAAUCACCAUGCAUGAAUGAAUUAGAUCUAGGUGUUAUUGUGAGUGGUUGUGAACCAUGCCCAACACUUUCCCACCCGCAACAUUGUCACUACAUGUGGGUACUCAACUAUCGGAACAUAAGAACACAUCAAGAUGAUCAUUCUAGGUAAGCAAAUAAGCAACCCAAAGUAGCGCUGGCCAGCCUUUUCAUGAAAGAGCAUCAUCAAGAUAAGAUUGAUAACAAAAUAGAUCUCAACCAAAGGUUCAGCGAUUACAAAUCAAGAUCUUCGUAUAACCCCGAUGACAAAUAGAGGUAUUACCCCCAUGAUCUUACACAUGUUGAUGAAUUUUAGGGUAAAGGACACCCUGUAGAUCAACUGGACCAAAGAUGAUGAUGAACGGGGGCAGGGAAGGCCCAGGUUGAUCAGCCUGCGCACUUUUGAGCCGAUCAGCUCAGGGGGUUUCCUCCUCCCCUGGUGCUCCUCUUCGCGUGGCCUCCUCUGGAUCCAAUCUUCUCUUCAUUUCUCCUACUUGUGGCGGCAAUGGAUGGUGUUUGCAUGGUGAUUUCCUCUUCUCCCCAACUCUCCCUCCUUGAAGUCCAUGAGGGGGUAUUAAUAGUCUCCAAUAGGCGGCAGCUCUGGGUCAAUGUCAGUGAAAAAAUCCUAGAGAUCAUCGUACACUUCAUGCUGAGGAAACAAGAGGUUGACCGAGCCCUGGGAUAGACCAAGAGGAUCAUCCUAGAGGGUCCCAGGCUAAUCGGUCUAGGCCCUUCCUAGCCCUUCUAGUCCUCUCCUUCCUCGUGCUGGCUUUUCUCGAUGACCCUUGUCCAAAUAUCCAUGAAGCUCUAUAUACAUACCCCCUUGAUUAUGUUGUAUUUCCUGUCAAAAUACAAUGCUCCAAAAUACAACACAUAUGCAAUAAUAGGGUUAUUUCAGGUGCCAAUUGGUGGGUUAGUAUACGAAUAAGCAUGAAAAUACUGUUUAAAUGACACUAAAAGUGUGUCAAUAACGAGCACCAACAAUCCCCCCACGCUUAGAUCUUGCUCGUCCUCGAGCAAGUCUAGCGACUAAAAGAUCUUGAAUUAAACCUGAGCAAGCGAGUCAAGUACCUAGCCUUGAAACAAAAGAUUAGAGGAGCAGCAAAGAUAAUCAAAGUCUGGGUGUUCAAAGAUUUAUCUAAGCAAAGAUUCCCCUACAACUAUUAUUCAGAACCAAGUAACUUCAAAAAUCAACUACACUUAUUUUCUGGCUUUUUUCAGAGGGUUUUUCUUUCAUCAUAAAACAAUCUCCCUGCAACAAAAUUGAAAAAAGAAUUAUUUUCAAGGUGCUUACAUGUCGCUUAAAUGAAUGUUGGCUAUCCUACUUAUUUGCAAGCUCUCAUCUCUCAAAAUUCAUUCAAUUAUAUGGUGGAGUUUGGGUAAGGUUAGCUAGAAUCAACACGUAUAUUAUUGAAUUAAGAAAACCCUCUAACGGUGGCCUACCUUCCGAGCCAUUGAUCAUAAGAAUAUCCACAUAAUGUGAAGUUUUCAAGGAUGAGAAGAUAUAGAAUGGUGGACAUGUGCAAAGGCAAAGAAAUAUAGUGACUCUGAGGCACAAGCAAUGUCCUCGUCGUUGGAUUGCAUAUGGUUGUAAUGAAAAUAUGUUCCUUAAACAAGUCUAUCUUUUCUUUGCACCACUCUUGAUCUUCAUGACAGUAAAAACUCCUCCUUUAUUUCUUUCUCUCUUUUCCUAUUAUUUCUUUUUAUUUGUCUCAAUACUUUUAUUUCUUUAUUUCUUUAUUUUAAUCUCUUCUCUGAACCUCUUCUGAACACCACAUAAUAAAAAUAAGUUUUAGAUCCUUCCAGAGACCUUCCAGGAAUUUGCUACAUGAAAACCGAGGCAAGGAGACCCCAGGCCGAUUGGCCUAGCCACUCCUUUGCUCUCCUCUAGCUCUUCUUUCUGGUGAAGCUUCCUUAUCUUGUAUCUUUCCAAAAAUUUCAUAAAGCUCGACUAGAAACGGAACAGAUCUUCAUAUAAUGAGUUGUGUUCAAGGAAUUGGUAAUAAAAUUGAGAAAUUUGUGGUUCGGGUUUACGAAUUCAGUACAAAAAUAUGAUUGUUCCAAUGAAGAACUCUCAUUACUGAAUAUUGACGAGGCAAGCAUUCAAAGAUGGUAAAAAGGAUAUGAUCAAUUCUCAAAAUUAAAGCAAACCAAGAGAGAGCGAUCCUAAUUCAAUUCAAAGUGUCAAAUGUUGCUUAUGGUGGUAUGAAUAAAUAUUUUUAGGCAUUGGGUAGGAUAAAUAAAAACUCUCAACCUGGUUAAAAGAUAUUGAUCAAUCUUGUUUUUGCAGAGGUUUUAAAUAAAAAAUAAAAUUUUAAAUCACCUCCAAUUCAAAGCCUUACUCAUAAAUCAUAAUCAAAACUGAAGCACUUGAUCAUCAUAAAGCAUGGGUAUUGCAUAAACAAAUCGAUUACUAAAACUCCACAACUACGAUUUAGAAUUCAAGACAAUGCUCAUAAUCUAAAGUUGCAAAGAUAAAAUAAAAGACAACCAAGCCAAGGUAGACACUAAAAACACUUGCACGAUCCUUGAAUUUUAUUCAUGCUUCUUCUCACAAAGACGCUAAAGUAGCCAUGUAGGCCUAAGUCUUCCCAAAAGCUUAAGAAAACUACUACUUUAUCUACUUUUGGUUGAAAUAAAAAGACUAAUCUAGACUCUCACAUGAUUCGACUCGACCAAAUUAGAUCCAAAAACUCAUACGAGCGACGAUCUCCCCCCCCUCACGCUUAAAAUCUACGACCUCCUCGUCGUAGCCAUAUGGAGUACAAGGAAAAGAAGCUUGUAAACGCUCUAAUGACGCUACCCGCACUACUUGCACACGGGAUGGUUGCUGCUUCCUUCGCUUUGUUCUUCCUCAUGUUGCUGCACAUCCCGAAGAGCUUCCUCACGUUCCUCUGCAAGAACUUGAACUCGUCCUCCUGACGGCGAUCAUUAUCUUCUGCCUUUUGAUCCAGAGCUUGUAAGGCUUGCAUGAUGUCAUCGAACGCAUCGAAGAGGUAGUGGAUGUUCUUCCUGCAAGCUGUGGAACAUGUACGAUCAUGCUCCUCCGAUUCUGGCCCGUCGUCUUCUAGAUCCUUCUCUUUGCCCUUGUCUUGACGGUGGCUAUCUUGCUCCUUGCUCGCCUUCUUGCCUUCAGCCCAAUCCCAGUACGUGUUGUCAUCUUCUUCAUCGUCACGGCCUGCAGCACCCUAUGAUCCAUUGUCUAUCUUGUAUGAAAGAAUCAGAAGCUUGUUCUCCUCAGGGUGUCUUGCGCGGUGCAGCGUUUGCAAGUGCAAGACUUGCUAGUUCCUUUUACACAUUGUAAUGUUCAUUGCAUGCUCUAAUUGUUCUACAUUUGUAAUUUCUUGGUGAAGUUUGGUUACUGAUCCACUGUUUGAUUAACUCUUGGGCCCAAACACUGUACUACUUCUGAUUAGAUAUCUGUAUCUUGACUUUGACCAAAAAAAAUAUCCGGCAGUUUUUGCCAUUAAAGUUUCAUAAAUCAUCUUGCAAAAAUCGUACUAUACAACAAGGGACGGUUUAUUAUAAAAUAUACGUUCCCCUUAUCACAUGCCACUUCCACUCAAAAGGCAACGAAUCAGUUUUCAAUCCUGAGUGAGCAAUUUGCUUUUAUUACCGAUGCCUCCUAUUCCCUUGUGCACCAAGUUUAUUUUGGAUAGGGCUGCAAAAAACGACUAACCAGCUCGGAUUCUCCACCUGCAAAACCGCAUCUGCAGCAACCAACCCCACGCGGUGGAAAAAAAAACAAAACCUAGAAACCGGACGGGGGUGGAUGUGGGGCUCGGAGCCCAAGCAAAAAACGGAUCGGGAGCGCCGGAGCAGGCCAUCACCGGAUGUUAGAGAUAGAAAAUGGUUGAAGUUUGGAGUGGAAAUCAAACAAGCCUUGGAGCAAAGGAAAAAAAAAGAUCAAACCACUCAAGCAUUCAUUUGAUUUAGAAAAGAGAACAUUUGUUAAGGUGGGGAGUUGAAAUCAUCUUUUAAUUAGUUCCACGUAUCUGGUAUCAUUACAGUUGGUUUACUUGUGUAAGUAUAAGUAGCUCUGCCGAAGCCUUUGCUCCUAUAAUUUAGUAACUAGUACAAAUGGAUCAAUAGGAAAAUCAAGUUGCAAUCAUUUCUCAGCCAACCAAACCUAUGUAAAUCAAAUUAUUGUCCAUGCCCGGCAUGCACAGGUGCCUGCCAUGCAUGCAUUGUUGCUCCAUUGUAAUAACCAUUAUUGUCCAUCGAUGUUGCAGCGCAUGUGUGCACUGUGCAGACACCAAGCAUCGAGAUUAUGUACUAGUAAGGUGUUGAAAUAAUGGGCCUAGCCCAUAAGUAAUUUCAGAAUUUCAAAUAAAUCUCAAAGGCCCAUGUGGGCAAGAGGUGGAGUGGUGCAAGUCUUUAGUCCCACAUUGCUAGUCGAGGGGAGGGAUGACCAACUUAAAUAUGGAAGUUGUCUCCACUCCUCCAAGCUAUGUGUGAAGGGCGCGGGCGCGAGGCACUUGCGUGAAUGGUCCGCCGAAAUCUGGCCCCCCUUGCGGGGGCGCGGCUUCCUUUUGCCGUUUUAUUUUUUGGUUACUUGGUCGUUAAGUCAUGGAAUCCUAACCGGUUUAGAUCACGAUCGUGAAGGUUUUUGGGAAGCGCUCUGCGCGACUGCUCGAUCGCUUCUUCCGCUUCGUCAAGUUCUUCGUCGACUCCUUCACCACGGCUCGUCUACCUCUUCGUCGCUCGGGCCUCACUCGUCGUCGCGAACAACGUCAGGCUGCUGAUCGUCGUCGCCUGCUGUAUCCGGUAGUCGUCCAGGAGCCGGUUUUCAUCAAGAAAGAAACGUACGGUCUCUUAACUCACAUUAUGUCUUCCAUACUAGCUAUUAUGAUUGUUGCAGUCUGAUAGCUCUGGAUAGUAUGGUAGAAUGUCUGAUUCUAUUUGCAAUGAUAGACUUGUCUAGAUCUUGCGUAGACAUGUCUAGUUUAAUCUGCUGCUUGUUCAUCAUAUUCAUGAUUUAUUUCUGGAUUAAGUUAAAACUAAAAGUGCUUAUAUAUCCAACAUAAGGUACCAAGAACACGUGAAGCACCCGGGGGAGGCUGCUCCACUCCGCAUGCACAGGUGGGCACGGCACCACUACUCGUCUCCUUCAGGCUGAGGAUAAGUGAUGUACGCUGAUCAACAGACCACGACGGAACCAGCAAUAAUAGUUUCAGCCUGCCUCACAGUAAUUAAUAUAUCCUGUAUCCUCCGAGGACCCCUCCCCUUAAUCUUGGCCUAUUGCAUCCAAUAAUGAUAUGUGUGUUUAUCCAAAUUUACGGCACCUUUGGCGGGGGUUCCACCCAGCUCCGCCCUCUCCACCUUCGGUACUCCAUGGGAAACCAUUCCUUUGGAAUCAAGGAAGCUUGAACAGUAUAACGAAUAAAGUUUCAUAUAUCCAUUUGAUUUCACAUGAAAUAAAAUAUUCUGUCAGAACCAAUGGUUUCACUGAAGCUCCAGGCAGCGAGCGAAGGGGUGAGAGAGGAUAACGCUUACUGUGUGUUACCAUCGCGUGCACCAUGGAUGACCAACGCGCAGCCGAGAUGAAACGGCGGACCUAAACAGGUCCUCGCUAUUUUUGCAGGUUCUCGACCAGGCCAGUUCUUUAGGCCAACCUAUCAUUCACGAGUUAAACAUACGGUGGCUGGAGAAAUGUUCUAUUCUUUUAAACAAUACCAGCUGGUUCCUCCGUUUUUAUUCCACCAAUACAAGCACCACCUUGUAACAUUUCCUAUGUUUUUUUUCCUUUCGUCUGUUUUCUCACUACAUGCGUUGCUCUUUCAUGCAUUUUUUUCCAUUCCUGUAUUCCAAAUAGGUCUACAUGAACACAAAAUGAACUAGGGGACAGAAAAAGCCAGUGAAGUUAGUUUUGAGCUUCACCAGCUACUUGCUACAUAAAGUGUGCUAUAGUCGCAGAAAAGCUAAGCUGGAUCAGACGUGGCCGAAACAAUGCCAAAGAGCUAGGUCCCUAGCUGAUGGCAACACAUCAGAUGACUAGCCUGCUUUUCUGUAAUAAUGAUAUUGAGCAAUACACUGCAUGGCUAACCUGCUUUACAAUAAUUGUCAUUUUAUAAUAUUGGUCAUCACGAGAGAUGCACAUUGCAUACACCGGCCCAUCCCUAUAAAUAGCCAAGCCUUUCAGCCAUCUUGGGCACCUCCUCUCAGGGCCUCGUCUCACCAUCAGACAUCUCGUUCCCAGUUAUAAUUUGCGAGGUUAGAUCAGGCUGCGCCAUGGCGUCCGCAACUGCUGUCAAGAUCGUCGCCACCUUCAUGCUGGUGCUGACCAUGGGCCACCUGAUGGCCGAAGCAUCACCGCAGCCUCGGCGUGUGCUUGCAGAAACGGAGCAUGCUGCGGUGUCCGGGAAUCCUGGCCUCCCAGGUGAUGCUAGCGUCAUGCAGGUCCUCGAACCCGCCCUAGUUUCUCGGCUUGCCUGCAAACCAGAGUGCACAGUCCCUUGGCCUCCUUUUGUAUGUAUCUGCUAGAUCCUCUUCCUGGCUCAACGGAACUUCAGGGAAAUGGCUGUGACGUCGGCCAAAGAAUAAAUUGGAUGAACAUAAUAUACCCCGGGUAGUGUAGCUUGGGCUUUUGUUGAGCGUCUGGUGCUAGUUGUAUUUUGUUUGCUCAUGUGGCUUUGCUUCUGGUUGCAUAUUGGCUUUCCUAUCGCUCUCUGUUGCAGCUAUGGUUUCUGCCAGGUGUGUGUUAAUGCGGUUUGUAAGCGGUGCUUGUUCCUACCUUCUGUUUUCAAUAAAAGAAGUCGGAGUCUCCCUCCGACUCUUGUUAUCAGUCAACAAAAAUGAGUUGUAUCAUAUAUAUCUGCGUCUUUUUUCUACGUAUCUUUGGGCUGCUUCAGCUGGAAGUUUAUCGUAAGUACGUGUAUCAGGAUGAUCGUUUGAAUUAAAACGAAAUGAUAAUGUGUGGCUGCUAGAAAUGGAAUGAGCAUCUUACUAUAUUACUAAUUGGAAGCCUCCACGUGAAGCCACCUAGAAAUUCUAGGUGGACGUUUUAAAAAAAACAAAACUCAUAGAAGCCUCCACCACCUAGGAAUCCUAGGUGGACACUCUAAAAAGAGACAAAUCCUAGAAAUUCUAAAAAAAGAAAAAAAUAAUAACAAUAAGAUUUUUUUGCAGUCAAUUACAUAUAUUUUUUUGAGACACCGUGCUGCUAGCUCUUGCCAUUGCGACCAGUAAAGCAAGCAGAUAGUAAGAUGACAUGCGUGUGGAUUGAUUAAAACAAAUUCAGUUAGUUGAUUCUAAAUCGUAUGUAUCCUAAAAGGAAGAUAUGUGCGUGCAUGGUCCCUAGCGAUGACAUGUAGACAUGUAUUGCAAUUUCUUUUUUAAAAAACAUGUCUAUCUCUAAACCAACAAACAGAAAAAAUAUCAAUCUAAAUCUAAAUCUCUUCCGUUCUCACACGCCUAUUAAAGAGAAGACAACCAAUCCCAUCCAUGUUCCAUAGAAUCCAUCUAAAAGCUUGCUCACUGCGGACGGCAUUUGACGGCAAAUCAAUGAAAGAUCAUCCUCUCCAAAUAGCUGGACGGCAUCACCAUCUUUAUCUCACCAACCUACAGAGCUACAACGAUGUUGUAGAGAUCAACUAGGUAACCUACCAAUCACCCUCCCCUUUUCUAUAUGCUCUAAAGAACACGUGGAGUAAUUAUAGGCCUAUAGGAGCCGACUAACCUAGAUUAAUAUGAAAAAUAUUCCAAUAUUAAAAGCAAGCAGAUAGUAAUACUUGCCUUUGACCAUUUUUCUAGAACUGUUAUUCCUAUUGAAUGUUCAAGUGCUACGGCCAGGCAUCGAAUGCCUGCACGGAACCUUCCUAUUGAAUGGUUACUCUAGAGAUCAACGCACCGCGAGACAUUUUUAUGGAAUUUGUUUGAUUCCCCUUCUACAAUUAGAUUAAUUUUUCAUGGCAUAUAUUACUACUAUUAAAUUAUUUGUUUAUUGUCGGGCCUGCUGCAUGUGUGGUAUAUAUGACUUGCUUCUCACCAUUGUUCUCAAACUAUUAUUCCUAUCGAAUCUUUCUAUCGAAAUAUAUUUUAAUUACUUGAUUGUUGUUUGUGUACCAUAACUUCUGUAUAGAAAAAUUCCAUGUUUGUAGAUAAUGUCUUUUGUAUAGAAAAAUAGCCCAAUUAGAUCCAUCACCAUCUUUUGCUUAUGUAGUUGAACAAGUUGCAAUGUUGAACAAAACUUUAAGUGAAAUUAGACCAGGAAAAGGAAUUGUGGAACAUUAAGGCAAGGGUAACCAGAUUGUGGAAUGCAACCUUACUCAGUAGUGGCGAACAAUUAAGUCUUGACAUGAUCCUUAUUGAUCAAAAGGUAUGAUAGAUGUUCACUUUGAUUGCAUUAUUGGUAUAAUUUUUGGUUUACAAAUUAUUAAUGAUGAUGCAAAAUUAGGGAACCAUGAUCCACGGUGUUAUCAAUAAGCCCUAUAUGAAAAAGUUCAAACCAUUGAUUGAAGAAGGCAAUGUGUACAUAAUUGCAAAUGUCAGAAUCACACCAGAACCACAGAAGUAUCGGCCAGUGGAAAAUGACAGGAUAGUCAACUUCUUACCCACAACUGCACUAAAAACGAUCAAAGAUACUGAAGACAUUCCAAAGUAUAGUUUUAACUUCAUGAGCACGGAUAUGCUUUCAGCAAGAAUAAAUGUGGACAUGUACCUAUUAGGUAAAACAUUACUGGCUUUUCAAUUUUUACACUUCCACUCAUUAAAUGACCAUCUAAUAAUAAUACAUAUUUAUGUUUCAUAGAUGUUAUAGGUAUCUCAGCUCACAUUGGACCGAUAGAAGAAACAAGGACAAACUUCGGAUUUACUAAAAUCCGUGAUAUUGUGCUCCUGAUCGAGUAAUUCUCUUUUCUUUUGUAGAAAACAACUACAAAACUUUCAACAUUUACAUGUAUGUUAUAGAACUUCUGUUGAACUAAAAAAUAUCUUCUACAGUGCCCCUACAAAUAAUUAAUUUCGUAGUUGGAUAUUUAAAAUAUUUAUUAUUCACUUUUAAAUUUGUGGCCAUGAAGUUAAAGUUAGAUUUUGGGGAGACAAAGUUGAGGAAGUUGAUGAUAAGACAAAAUCCCAUGUCAUUGCAAUAACAUCUACAACUGUGAGUAAAUUUGGCAGUAAGUCUUCAUUCAAUAUGAGUUAUUCAAUAUUAGUCAUUCAACAAACUAACCUCGUAAGAAAAAUAAAUAAUUGAUGUUUUAUCAGGGUAUUCUCUAUCGUCAACCAAUGCAACAAAACUUUAUGUAGAUCUACCUAUUCCUGAAACUAAGGAUGCACAUGAUAGGUGAGAAAAAUUAGAUAUUGUUUUUCUAUUUUAAUCUAUGUAGCAUGCACUCUAACAUGAUACAUUCUUUCAUAUGAUAAAAAAAUGUUAGUUCAAUUGAAAAUAUUGUCAAAGAGAUUCAUAUUGAGGACCAUCUAAAAGGGACAUUGGAAGACCAAAUGCAGUACAAUAGAAGAACUUUAGAAGAAUUAAAUUUCAUAUUAUUUGAAACAUCAAAUCAGGUAUGGAUUAGUAUGUUCAUUGUACACUAUACUAUUUAAAGACUUACAUACAUAAUGAUGGUAUUGUUCCUACUUUCAGGAUGAGGUAUUUACUAUUGAAGCAACAAUAAAUGAAAUUAAUGCAACAUAUGGUUGGUUGUCACACCCGAUUUUAAGGACAAAAUUGAGUGCAUUAAAUACAUGUGCACCAGGAUCAAGUUACACACAUCCUAUGAGUACCGUCCUUCUUUGGCACAAAGAUAACCGGUGCUCCCCAUGGUGAUGAACUAGGCCGAAUAAACUAUUUUGCUGAUAAUUCCUCUAGUUGUUGUUUCAAUUCUUUUAAUUGUUCAACCAACAUUCUAUAAGGACGUUUGGAGAUAGGUGCAGUACCAGGUAAAAGAUCAAUAGCAAAUUCAAUGUCGCGGUCAGGUGGCAUACCUGGUAAAUCGUCGGGGAACACAUCCGGAUAGUCACACACCACUUUGAUAUCUUCCAAGGAUUUUCCAGCCAACUGAUUAACUGCACAAUCUGCUGCUGAGGGUAGAGUAGCUACAAACUCCACUUUCUCUCCAUCAGGACCUGUUAGCAGAACUGUCCUCUUGGCACACUGAAUCGUUGCAUCAAAAGCGGCUAACCACCUCAUCCCCAGAAUUACAUCGAUUCCACUGGACUCAAGGACGAUAAGAUCAGCCGGAAACUCUAUACCCAUUAUUCUCAGUUUAACUUGUGGACAGAUGUAUUGAGCCUUCAUUGACCCCCCAGGUGAACUCACUAGCAUAUGACGCCUCAUGGUAUGCAUGGGUAAAUUAUGCUUUGCUACAUAAUGACUAGUGACAAAAGAAUGCGAUGCUCCAGAGUCAAAUAAAACUGAUGCGGGGGCAGAGUUGACAAAGAACAUACCAAGCACUACAUCUGGAGCCUCCUUAGCAGUCUCGGCUUCCAUGUGGUUCACCUUGCCACAAACAAAGCUUUGCUGCCCCUGAUUGCCUUGUGGGGUCUGGUUCCCAUUCCUCGGUUGCUGCAUCUGAUUCUGCCGAGGAGCACUGCUGUUCUGCACGGGGGUAGCUGGCCCACCUCUCUUAGGACAAGAGCUGGCAUAGUGACCAACCUCGCCACACUUGAAGCAGGUAGGACCCACUGGAGCAUUGGGCCUUGUUGGAGUGCCAGUAGGGGUCAUCUGGCGGUUCUGCGUAAAGCUUGGGCGCGGAGUCUGCAUAGUCUGCAUCCCUGGAUGCUGGAACUGAGGGCUAGGGCGCUGGAAUGACUGCUGAGCAGGGCGCGGAAAUGAGUGCUGCCAAAAAUUCCCACUCGGGCCCCCUGCGCGGAACGGCGUCCCUUGCUGUGGAGCAAAGCGAGGGCGGGUGUUGCUUCCUGAAGACUACUGGGAAUUGAAUUUCCUCUUCAUCUCCCCGAGCUCGUUCCUCUUGUGUUCCAGGCCAAUUGCCUUGUCUAGCAUCUUCUGGAAACUGGGGAAGGUGUGCGACAUAAGCUGAUAUUGGAGUGGUCCAAUCAACCCAUCCAAGAAUAGCUCCUGCUUCUGCUCAUCAUCAGCAACAUCUUCGGGAGCAUAUCGGGACAACUGGACAAACUUGUCCCUGUACUCUGCCACUGUCAUGUUCCCCUGCUUGAGAGCAAGGAACUCCUUCUUCUUAAGCUUCAUCAAUCCGGAAGGAAUAUGAUGACUUCUGAAGCUAGUCCUGAAUUCAUCCCAGGUGAUGCCAUUAGCAUUGGCAUGGGUGGUGGUGUAAGCAUCCCACCAAUCAGCAGCUGGCCCUUCCAGGCGUCCUGAAGCAUACAGGACCUUCUCCCUGUCAGUACAUUGGGCGAUAUCCAGCAUCUUCUCCACUGUUUUCAGCCAAUCAUCAGCAUCUAAUGGAUCCGGAGAAUGUGAAAACGUCGGGGGCUUGUGGCUCAUGAACUCCCUAUGCCUGUCCCUUGGCGGCGGCUGCUGCUGGUUGUUGUUGUUGUUAUUGUUCAGCUGAGCUUGUAAAGCUGCCACGGUGUUGGUCAGUCCGGCGAGAAGCUGAGUCUGAGCUGCUAGAAACUGCUCCAUCCCUGCAGGUGCUUGUUGGUUCUGUUGCGGAGCGGUGUUGGGAUUGCUGCUGUUGUCCCUGUGGCGUGGCACUGUGGGACGGUCAACUCCUGAUCCGGACCUGGUGUUUACCAUCUGAGCGUUAGAGACAAUGGAUUUAGAUAGAUGUGUGAAAGAAUAACUGAGAAAGAUAAAGCGACCAGAUGUAAAAGUAACACAGAUUCUGUUAGCUCCAUUUAAUUAGGUGUGGUCGUCAGAAGAAGUGUCCAUAAAUUCUGAACAAUUACCAAGUCGUAACUUAUUAAAUUUGUAAACCAACCCAACUGGAAUCAUCUCAAUCGGACUUCUGGAUCUCGAGUUACAAAAUUAACAAGCUGACAGUGUCGGUCGAUAGGUUCAGAUUCUGAGUGCUUUACUAAUUCGCAUACACCUCCCAGACAGAUACACCAAAAAUUCUGAAAAAUUUACAGAUAGUACUCCACGAAAUUCUGAAACUAACCCCACUGGUUUCAUGUCAUUUGGACUUCUGUAGCUAGAGAUAUAAAUAAAAAAGUACUGGCGUGUCAGUUAAUGUCGAGAACAGAAUUGAAUGUCGCUUAGCUUGCGUGAUGGAUAGAUUUAGACAGAUGGUAGAUCAUGAUUAAGGAAGAUUAAAUACUGAUUUAGAACAGAAAUAAAACCCAACUAAGCACUUUAUUUAUUAAGACCAGUAUCGUGUGGCAAUUGCCCCACAUACCGCACUCAUUACAAAAUCCAACUCAAACAUGUAGCACAAAACCAAUCAUCUAAGCACACUUUAACUAACACACUCGAACGACGUCUAACGAUUACAAGAAUUUAAACUAAAACACUCCUAAUUUCCUAGAGGUCUUCUGCGGCGGUGCCGGGCGAGUCGUAGCGGGGACGCUUAGGCGACGGCGACGAAGCGGGAUGAACAGCAAACUCCUGCGGCGGCGGUGCUCCCGUCGCGGCAGCCAUAUUCGCAUCCCUCUCCCACCGGAGUUCCUGAACCUCCUGUUGAAGCUCCUGGAUGUGGUUGUUUGCUUCAUUCAAUGCGGUGAGAGCUGCCGACGUGUACUUGCGGAGGAAGUCUGUAGCCAUGUCAACCCCAUCGUUAGUAGCGAUGAAGGUUCUUGCUUCCCCACUAGCUCGGUAAGGAAGGAACCGAUGGUAAGUGUGCUGCAAUCGCGGCCGUUCCUUGUGGGAGACGACCUCAAGUGCCCUCCUGGCGGCCUCGGCAAUGCCGGAUUCCAUGGUCCUCCUUAUGGUCACAUCAUGGUGAAAAGCCUUCACCUCCCAUCCUCCCUCGUGCUCCUCACGAAGGACAACCUUCACCUCCCAAAAAGUGGGAUAGCGAGGGUGGGUGAACCGGGAGCACUUGUAGAGUGGCCUCAUGCCGUACCCCAAGCGGUGACAAGUCCACCUGAGUAUGUCGGCCAUGUGCACUCCUUGGCCAUAAUCUUCCUUCACCCAUUUGAUCCAUGUCUCGGGCUCGGGAUCUGCUUCGGGCUCAUCAUCCGUCAAGUCGACGACCGGUACGGGCGUCGGGGCUGGUGCAGGAGCGGGCGCCGGUGCUGGCGACGGUGCUGGUGACGGCGUGGUCUCCUGCUCCACGGUCACGGCGUCCCCGUCAGAGUCAUCCCCCGGAUGCUGGAAGAUCUCUUCCUCUUCUUCCUCGUCCCAAGGCUCCAUGGGGGCGUACGACGGCGCGAUGCCAUGACGCGGCGGACGGGUGCUCUUGCGUGCGGUCAACCGGGUGCGAGCCAUCUAACAGAAAGAAAGAAGAAAAUUUUAGAAUAAAAUUUUGAACAAAGCUAGAUAAUAAAAUAGCAAUAAGGAUGAGACAAAUCAAGUUUAAGAAUAAUUAAGUAGAUUUAAAUUAAGAAAGGUAGGAAUGGCUACUAGAUUAUUAUAAUCCUUAAAUACGACCAUUUUCUAACUAGGCUAACGUCCUACAGUCAACACGGCUCUGGUACCACUUUUGUCACACCCGAUUUUAAGGACAAAAUCGAGUGCAUUAAAUACAUGUGCGCCAGGAUCAAGUUACACACAUGUACGACAAUAGUGAAUAGUAAAGCCAGUGCUAAAUCGAAUAAAGAGAGUAUUAACCAUUAUUACAUGACCGAAUGUCUCAAAUAAACCACAAAGUCUAAUUAUUACGCAGCGGAACUCCAAAGAUGACGACGACUCCAUAGGCAGCUGACUGAAGAAACGUACGCCUAGAACUCCUCGAAGUCGUGGAAGUACUCCUCUUCCCAAUUAACUUGGUCUGAACAGCGGUUUUGCAAGGGUGAGUACACUUAUGGUUGGUACUCAACAAGUCGUGGGAAGUAGUGUAGUGUAAGGCUAAUUCAAGGUAUGGCUAAGGCGUAAAUAGCAUUCGCUUUUAAUUAAGUUGGUCAAAUUUUAUUAGCAUUUACUAAGUAUAAGUUCAUACCACCCGAAAUUAAACAUGAACAUAAAGUAAACCACAUGUGCAUGAAAUGAUAACAAAUUAAAUCCAUCUUCCGAUAAUAUUAUCAUGUGAGGGUCCAGGCCGCUCUUAACCGUGAGCACGGCUGAUUGAUCAGUUUAACACUCUGCAGAGGUGGCACAUCUUUACCCACAAGUCGCGUAAAAGUUCAAAAGAACUUUGGACCCAACCAUGCGGUGUUUGCAAGGCACCAUACCACACUUCCGAGGUGUGAUUGCAUAGGGACGCUACGAGGCCUUUACAAAGAUUCAUUAAUCAGUGGUAACCCGCUAAGGUUUCGGUGUCUGGCGUGCACCACCCAUCCCAGGUAAAAUGCAACGACUCAGUCCCCCCCCUUGAAUCAUCACGAGUAAGGUCACCCCAGACUAAGGUUUCUAAUUAAUCAGCCAAGACCAGAGCUAUUUAGUCUUGUGGUAGCACUGUUUUCCUGGGUGGUCGCUCCAUGUUCUGAUUAACAAAUAAUGAUCUUGUCUUAAUGAAAGGUAUAACAGAAAUAAGGCAAGAUUAAGCAUUGUUUUUAGUUAAACCACCAUGUACCAAGUAAGCACUAAGCAUGAGCUACCCAACAUAAAGUAAACCGGUUGGUCAAGGCAAAGGUAAAACAAUCUAGGCCAACCUUAAUUGGGACCCAUCAAUUUAAUCUUAAUAUGUGCACAGCAUAAAUGUUGAGUACGAGAAAGUAAAGGUGUAUAGGACAAAAAGGUAGUGAUCAAGGACACGACUUGCCUUCUUGGCCUUGCUCCUGCUGUUCGUACUCCUCGAAGGCUUGAUCGGCAACUCCCUCGAACUGCGGGGCGUCUACACGCAUCACACGAGCACAUACAAGCAAACAUGGGCAAAAGUAAGAAAACAGUAUACCAAACAUAGUCAAACAGAGAAAACAAGCUUGAAAAGAUGAUCUACGCUUUAAAACGAACACGCGGAUAUAAAGAACGCGAAAAACGGAGUUAAGAUGCAAAAGAUAUGAUUAAAACAAAAUCCAGGGACUUUUCUGUAAGAAAAACAAAACUUUUAGGGCCUAUCCGCGAAAACCGAGGGCUUAUACGUAAUUAUGCGUAUAAACCGAGGGUCUGAUGCGUAAAAACAUCAAACCCGGACGGCGGGUUGAUUUCUGGAAAGGUCAAGGGUUAAACCGAAAAAUGCGAGGGCAGAUCUGUAAAUACUUUCAACGCGAUCUGGACCGCGGGUUGAUUUGCGAAAAAGGCGGGGGCUAAAGUGCAAAAACUGCACGGCGCGGCUCGGUUGACCGGUACGCGAUCUUGAUUGACUCGCGUCCGGCCGUCGGAUUAAGAUCCGACGGUCGCGGUGAUCCGCGACAUCGCGGCGGCGGCGGCGAGCGGCGGCGAGCGGCGGCAAGCGGCGGCGGGUCGCCGGAGUUAGGCAAAAUAGCGCCACGAGGCACGGUUUAACGCGCGGGUUGCACCAAAAAAGAGAGGGGAACACGUCGAUCCCGUUUUGGGGGUUCUUGUCGACGGGGGCUCACCGGCGACGGCGAACGGCGGCGAGGAAGAGGCGGCGGCGCUAGGAGCUCGGGCGGCUAGGGUUUCGGGGAGCUGCGGCGCUGGUUUUGGGCGGAGGAGACUGGGAGGAGGCGGCGGCUUUUAUAGGGCUUGGAGAUAGAGCCGGCGCGGGUUCAAAUCCCCCGGAGGAGUCGGAGCGGAUGGAGUCCGGGGCGGAGACGGCGCGCGGCGGUUGCGGAGUUCUGACCGGAUUCGGCCGGAGGUGGGAGACGAUGGGUGGGGUCCACCCGUCAGUGGCGGAGGGGAGCGGUAGACGGGCCGGCGCGACCGUGGGCUGGCGCGCGCUCGUGGGCUGCGGGGAGCGGGAGAGAAGCGGCGAGCGGGCGCUGGCGGAGCAGGCCGAGCGGAGGUAGAGCUGGGCCGCGGAGAAAAAGGAGGAGGCCGGCGGGCUGCUUCGCAGGCCGGUAAGGAUGAGGCGGCCGGGCCGAAGAAGAAAAAGAAAAGGAGGGACAAGGAGCUUUCGGCCGAGGGAAAAGAAGAAGAAAAAGAAAAGGAAGAAGAAAAGGGAAAAGGUUUUGGAAUUUGAAUUUAAAUCUGAAAUUCAAAAUUUGAUUCAAACUCAAGCAACCAAAAAUUAUGCUCCAGCAUGAAUGCACAAAUAAUUCCUAUGAUGAAUUAAUUGAAUUAAAGAAAAUGAAUUUAAAUGCCUAGAAAUUAAAUAACACCCUAAUUUGAGCAAAUUUUAAUGAAUUUGAAUUAUUGAAAUUUUGGGUGUUACAUUGGUACUACAUCUCAUGUAGUAGAGGCGAUUGUAAGAAGCAACUUGAAAAGAAGUUUGAUCACUACUAUUGCAAUAAAUGUGACAAGAGAGCCGAACCUAAAGCCCAGUAAAUUAUUUAGUAGUUUACAAUCUUAUUAUAAUACUUCUAUUUCUAAUAGGAGAAUAAUAUUUUCAGAUUCAAAUUAAGCUUCAAAUAAGUGAUCCAACAACAAGUGCAACUUGUGUACUUUUGACAAGGAAGCAGAAAUGAUAAUUAAUGAAUGAGCAGAUUCGAUGAUCACCUCAGUUGAUCAUGAUAAUAAGUAGCUACCAAAAUCAAUUCAGGAAAUAUGUGAAGAAACAUUGAUUUCUCAAUUCAGAUUGACCGAGUACAACUUGACAAGUUUUAGACCUGAUUAUACUGUUUCAAAGAUAUUUUUUCCAAAAGAAAAGGGCAGUUCAAGAAUUGGUAUGGAAAGUGUAAAAAAGGUAACACUUUAUUAUUAAUUUUUUAUUGCACUUUUUUCUUUUGAAUCCGUAAUACUUAAUAAUUUUACUAUAUCAAUGAAACAAAUUCUAACCUAAAUUUAUUUUCUUUUUUAUUAUUUGUAGGAAGUAGAAGACAACUCAGACAAAUGCUACACGAUAACUACCGAGAAUGAAGAGGUAGACACUGAUGACUCUUUUACCGAGAAAGUAACAUUCGUAGAAGAAGCCAUAAGGACUGGGGAAAGAUUGGCUAGAAAAGUAUACUCACUUCCAUGUCAGUGUUCAUUCUAUUUACAAUACAUGCAAAAAAAAUAUUAUUCAUGCAAAAUUGCAGGUCUACUAAGCAUUAAAGGAAUAGCGGAUAGUGCAAUAUGUAAUCUGAGCAGCAUGCAUUACAAAGUGCUCUACUGCAAUUAAAUUAAAAAACAUGAUAUAUGUUGAAUUCUUAGACUUUAUUAUUAUACUUUUCUACGUGACAAUUCACAAUUUUUUAGAAAAAAGAAGAUCCCAGAAGAAGUGACCAUGAAAAAAGGUCUAUGACCAGCAAUAAGAAAAAAUGCAAGCAUAGAAACAAAUCCGUAGAAAACAUAGAAAAUAAGGUACUCCAUAAACAAAAGUAUUCUCUUAUAUUUUUAUUAAAUAUUUUUUUAACACUUGACAAGUUCUUUUUUAGGAUCAAUAUAUCAGCAAUUCAGAUGUCAUUGGAGAUGAAACCUUAGUUCAUCCAAAAGGUCAAAAAAAAACAUCUGAAGAAAGGUGUUUGGCUGAAAAGGAAAAGCAAAAAAGUGGUAAUGCAGACAAACACAUGCAGAAAAAUAUAAAAACAUGUCAUAGGGAGGCAGACCAAUCUUGCAAGGAGGUAUAGACGAAACGUGAUACACGACCUGCCUACCUUGUCGUGGAUACCCCAAGAAGAUGUCAUAGAGGUGCAGACCAAGCUAGCAAGGAGGUCGAAACGUGAUACACGGCCUGCCUACCUUGCCGUGGAUAUUAGCCCUGAGAUCAUUCUACUGUUCAAGGAAUAACACUCAAUGCUGCUGCUGCUGCUGACCUGGCUCCAUAAAGUUAUACUCCUCUAGGUGCUUGCACUAACUUUAUCUGAAGUAUUAUUCUCUCUGCACUGUAUAUAUGGUUAUGGAGUUUGCUGGAGUAUCCGGGGCGAAGAACCUACAUAAUACGUCUUGGAACUAAUUGACAUUGAUUCACAGACAAACUCUACAAGGUGCUGUUCUUGCCAUUUUAGAGCAUCCAAAGGACUAUAAAUAACAUAGUUUACCAUAUACCAUAUACCAUAUACCAUAAUAUGUUAGCUAAAAUAAGAGCAUACACAUGUUGCAGGAGUCCAAAAGCACCGGUUGAGGACCAGGUACAUUGAAUUACUAGAAAAAGACAGGGGACAAGGUUUAGGUAACCACAUGAAACAUUUGAAUUUAUUGUACUAUGAACACUUAGUUACCAUGCCAGGAGCACAUAGUUAACACUAACAUUUAGCCACUUUAGAUCAUCCCGAAUCACCAAUGACCCUCAAUAGUGACAAAUUUUGGUUUAAAUGCCAUCACCAAUGAUCCUCAAUAGUGACGUAUUUAGGUUUAAAUCCCGUCACUAAUAACCCUCAAUAGUGACCUGUUUUGGUUUAAAUCUCAUUACCACUGAUCCUCAAUAGUGAUGUGUUUUAGCAAAACAUGUUAUCAAUGACUUGUCAUUGGUGACGUGUUAAAACGCGUUAUCUCAAUGGCAAAUCAUUGGUGACGUGUUAUCUCAAUGUUAUCAAUGUUCUAUUCUUUUCAACAAUACCAGCUCGUUCCUCCGUUUUUAUUCCACCAAUACAAGCACCACCUUGUAACAUUUCCUAUGUUUUUUUUCCUUUUGUCUGUUUUCUCACUACAUGCGUUGCUCUUUCAUGCAUUUUUUUCCAUUCCUGUAUUCCAAAUAGGUCUACAUGAACACAAAAUGAACUAGGGGACAGAAAAAGCCAGUGAAGCCAAUUUUGAGCUUCACCAGCUACUUGCUACAUAAAGUGUGCUAUAGUGACGUGUUUUAGCAAAACAUGUUAUCAAUGACUUGUCAUUGGUGACGUGUUAAAACGCGUUAUCUCACUGGCAAAUCAUUGGUGACGUGUUUUAAAAAAACAUGUCACCGUGAGAGUCAUUGGUGAAGGGUAAUUAAAAUGCGUCACUAAUGUUGUAGCAUUAGUUAUGAUAAUUUAGUAACGCAAAAAUCUACCAUCAGUAUUGAGCUUUAGAGCCAUCGCUAAUGUGGGUUUCUUACAUAGUGAUGCAAGCUCUACAAGGUGCUGUUGCUGCCAUUUUAAAGCAUCCCAUGACUACAUGUUAAUAACAUAGUUUACCAUAUAUCAUAAAAAUAUUAGUUACAAUAAGCACAUACGCAUGUGGAAGAGUCCGAAUGCACCGGUUGAGGACUAAACACAUUGAAUUACUAGAACCAAAUGUAUGUUUAGAACAAAGACAGGGGUCAAGGUUUGGGUAACCGCAUUAAAAACAUUGGAUUUUACUGUACAUGAACACUUAGUUACCAUUACCAUGCCUUGAGCACCUAGUUACAACAAACAUUAAUUUAGCCACUUUAGAGCUUCCAGAAUCGCUAUAAAUAAUAUACCUACGCCGUACCAUGAAAACAUCAAGAAGAGAGACGGAUACAUGGACCACCAUCAAGCGAGUAGUGACAGCACGCACAAGAAUACCCGGAACCUGUUAGCUUGUCUGUAGUGAUCUGUUUUCUUCCCCAUAAAAUCCAUGAGUAUUGCCACAAAUAAUGAAAGAGGCUGACCAAGCUAGCAAGGAGGUAGAGCAAACGUGAUACACGGCCUGCCAAGAUUGCCCUGGAUACGCCAAUAAGAGCGACAGAUACAUGGAUCACACCAAUAUGGUGAAACGUAUAUUCAUCACACAAGCAAAGCUGGUCAGUUUAUCCAUGGUCAAAUUGUGGUCUUUGUUUUCACUUGAGAGCUAAUUGAGGCACUAUAAUAUGGGCAGGCCUAUCUUCAACAGACAUGACAGCUACAGGGAACUUGACAUAAUUUGCUGGGCCGCCUGUGCACAAUUAUUUGUUUUAUUGUCCUUGCAUAGAAUGCUAAAAUACUCUUUACAAAAUGUUGGAUCUAAUAUUUGAAAUAUAGAGUAGUAAUCAUAUAUUGAUCAACAACUUGAAAUUAUCUGUACAUUCUCGGUGAAGCUGUUGAACUAAUUUUUGCAAAUUAUUAAUUCAUCUCAUUACGUAAAGAAAAAAGUAAGUGGAUAAGAUAUUUCGUGGACCACAUCACUGCAAACAUGUCAUGGAGAGACAGACCAAGGAGGCAGGACGUGAUACACGACUUACCCUAGGUUGCCGUGGAACCGCCAAGAAGAGAUACAGAUACAUGGACCACACCAUCUUGGGAGUAGUGACAGCAUAUAUGCAGAAGAAUACCCCGUGCCUAUUUGCAUGCAUGUCUCAAGUGAUCUGUUUUCUUCAGAAAAUACAUGAGCAUUGCCAGAAAGAAUGGCAAGAGACAAACAUGUCAUAGAGACUUGCAUGUCUUGCCUUGGAUACGCCAAGAAGAGGGACACAUACAUGGAUAACACAAAUCUAGUGACACGUAUAUUCAUCACAAAGGCAAAUCUGAUAAUUUUAUCCAUGGAGCAGACCAAGGAGAAAUUGAUGACGGACAUGUGAUCUCUGUAUUCAGUUGAAAGCUAAUUGAGCUACACUAAUAUGAGCAGGACUAUAUUCAAGAGACUUGUUGAGAGCUACAGGGAACUUGUAAUAAUUUGCUGGGCGGCCUGCGCACAAUGAUUUGUUAUACAUAGUUGAAAUAUUUCAAGAAUUUAUCAACCUCAUACUCUGAAACCCUUGGUGCAAUGUACUCUGCUUUCCGAGGUAGACUGUUCACGUAAAAUGAGGUCAUGCGUAAGACGGAAUCGGAUUGGAUUCACAGGGAAUCAGAUUUGGAUAGCACCUUUUAGCAGGUUUUUAGUCAAAUGCAAAUUCGGAUCCACAUGUGGUUGAAUGCGAGUUCAAAAUUCUACUUGGAUAUCCAUUUAAUUUAGGUGAUAGCAAUUAGCACAAAAUGUUGGAUGAACAAAAUCAUAGUUAGACAUACAAUUACAUGUAUGGUUAAAGUAUAAUACAAUACACCAAGAUUAUUCCUUGAAAAUAUUUCUUAAAAAUAUUAUAAUAAAUGAAUAAAUAUAAUUGUGGCCACCAACAAAUAGUCGGUGGUCGCUAAGUUGGAGCCAUUUCUGGUUACUAAUGCGGCCUUCUCCUCGACCAGCGACGACAGCUGAGCUUGUUCCUUCUGACACUAAAUCAUCAGAGUCUUCCCUCCACUACUAUAGAAUGCACCUUUAGCACCAAUUGGGAAAUCCCCUUCAGUAUUGGAUGCUGCAACCAGUGCUAUAUAUCAAAAUGGAGACUAAAAGCCUCGGUCUUGGGUACCGGUUGCAUAACGCAUUACUAAAGGAGGCAAAAGAGAAAUGUAACAAAAAAAAUAUUUUGAAUUCCAAGAAUGUUUCACUAUUCAAGAUGACUAGCUGAGAGUCAACAGACAAGAUACUAGGAAUGUGGGUGCUUGAAUGCAUUUGUACAGAGGUCAUACUAUUUACAAACUCUUCUAUGUUUCCAUAUGACUACCUACUUCAAUGUCACGCGAGCCAUUCAGCUGGACACAUGGCACACUAGCUUGCAUGUCGAAUCCAUGAUUAAUUAUUUGCACUUGUGAUCUCUUACCAGUAUUUGUCCAGACUAGAAACGUGCAACACAUUUUUAGGAUAUGGACACGCAUAUAUUUGGACUAGUAUACAGGUCACCUUUGGAUGCGUACAAGGAUGACCGGGAGGGACUAAUGGAUACAAGGAAGGGACCAUCAGGAUUAAUAUUGACAUAUGCCACAUGACAAUCUUCAUUGUCAUGCAAUCCCUAUCAACAAUCAUGGAAUCCCUAGUGUACUAAUCCCUGGAGGGUUGUGUGGAAAUUUAUUUUACCUUGCGGUGAAAAUCUCAUGAGCAGUCAUUAGUUAAGCUGACUAGCUGAGAUAUAAUAGACAAGCUAGUAAGAUUGGGAGCAUCAAUGCAUCCAUACAGGGUCACAAUAUCCUUUCCAUUCACUUUUAUAUAUAACCCUACGAAUACAAGUCCAACGAAAUGCGGGCCUUUCGAUCAAGAUAAAUUAAAUGGCCCACUUGUAUUUCUAAUCCAGGAUUAACUAUGCCCUCUGUUCAUCUCUUGCAAGCACGUGCAACACAUUUUCACGAUAUGGACAUGCAUGGAGGUUAUUAUACUGUUUGGACAAACUCUGAUGUGCCAUGACCUAAAUGCUUAGGGCCUGUUUGGUUUGAGUUGCUUAUUAUAAGCAACUUAAAGUUGCUUAAAGUUGCUUAUUUGAAGUUGCUUAUUUUUAGUCUAAACUGUUUGGAUACCCUUGCUUAUGAGCAUUGAAUGAGUUGGACAUUGUCAAAUUUGCCCCAUGUGUUGCUACCCCUCCAAUUUGCCUCCCCACCCUUCUUCUUCCUGCACACGUCCGAUCCCGGGGGCCGACGGCGGGCAGGGAGCAGCAGCAGCUGGCCAGGGCGGCGGUGGGGCGGGAGCGGCGGCGCACACCAGCACGCGCUCGCACGCCAGGUGCUAGGGCGCGGCGAGGCAGUCGUCGUAGCCCACCGGGAGCGGGUGCUCGGGCGCGAGGCGGUACUCGACGGAGAUGCCGAGCGUCGGGCGCGCGGCGGCGAGCGCGUUGAGGAAGCGAUGGUAGUGCGGCGACGUCGCGGACUCCGCCACGAAGCCGCCGCCGUGGACGUACACCACCACGGGCAGCUUCGUCUUGCCGUCGGCGGCCGCGGCCGCGGCCUGGGGUGGCAGGUAGAGGCGGACGGAGCAGGAGCCGAGGUCGACGUCCCUGGAGUCGACGCCCGUGGCGGCGUCCAGGCUGGGCCCGACCGGCGGCGGCACGAGCGGGCGCUCGAUGCGGCCGCUCUUGUAAAUCCGACGGGUCUGUGCGGAGGCGGGCGGCGGGCGGGAGCGGCGGGUGGGAGCGGCGGCAGGUGGUGCGGAGGCCGGCGGCGGCGGGUGGCGCGGAGGAAGGGGAGCUGGUGAGUGGUGACAGGGGAGGGGGGGAGAGAGAGGGGGGGUAGGGUGCAUUGAAUGAGGGCAGGAGGUGUAAAGUGCACCUUUUAGUCCCCAUGAGCAACCAUAAGCAGCCCAAGAGUUGCUUAUUUGCUUAUAAUAAGCAACCUCAUAAGCAAGAGUGAUUGGUUUCAUAAGCAACUUAUUUGCUUAUUUUAAGUUGCUUAUGCAUAAGCAUGUGAAACCAAGCAGGUCCUUAACCUAUGGUUGUGGCACCACACAGUACAUAGUAUUUAAUAAUGCUAUUCGUUUGGUAUGUGCACAAGGGCACGCAUGAAAUGUCUGGCCCACGGUAAACAAGUACGGACGCUGCAAAUAAUCUACUCUGCUCGUCCAGUCCCUAGCCUAUAAAUAGAUGCCAUGCUAGCUCUUGUUGUGCUCACAAUUAAUCCUGACUACACACGAGCUUCUCUCCCUGGCCAAGACACAAUCAUAGUAUGAUGAAGAACAUGGCACUAGCCGGCAAUGGUAUGAAGAACUUAAUCCUCGCUGUUCUCUUACUGUGUCUAGUUAUAGGGCAGAUACAAGUGGAAGCUAAGAGCUGCUGCCCAUCCAUUACUGCAAGAAAUAUCUACAAUGCCUGCCGUAUCACGGGUACAUCCCGUCCAACGUGUGCAAAACUGUCAGGCUGCAAAAUUAUCAGCGGGGACAAAUGCAAGCCCCCUAACGACCACCUCACCCUUGACCCGGACACUGGUAAAUAAUAAAUUUAUCUCACUUGAUUUCUUCGUGUUUUGAGUCGUUAAUGUAUUUUCCAUCUGAUGAAACGUAUUGGUUUUGCAUUGAAGAGGAAGUUAAUGUGCUUAACUUCUGCAAGUUGGGGUGUGCGUCGUCUGUGUGCAACAACAUCAACGCUGGUAAGCACCUUUUGCUCAGACGGAGAAAACAAUAAUCAUUAAUUAGCGGCAGCUAGAAUCCUAUAAUCUAAUAUAUUUAUAUAUAUAUAUAAUUUUAUCAGCUCUGGGAAAUGAAGAGGCGAACGAUGCCGUUGAGAGUUGCGACCAAGCCUGCUCUAGCUUCUGCAACGUGCACGUUGGCGCUGCCACCGUGGUUGCUUAAGCAAAUGCAUCCAACUGGAUCGUCCUUGUGCUAAAUAAUUGGAUAUCGUAUCCACUUAAAGCUGCCUUGUGUAGUACGUUUUUGUUUGUGUCUCUCUUUAUAUUCCAAUAAGGUCGGUGAUCUUGAUGCCACACACUCAGACGUGUGUUCAUCUCCAGAUACUACUCCAUGCUACCUGCCCUUUGUGUUUUGUUCAAUAACUGGGUAUCAUAUCCCAGCCAGUGUGCCAUCUGUUUUGUGUUUAUUUCCUUCUAGUUUCAAAGGGGUUAUCAUGAUGUUACCUUCUUUCGAUAUGGUGCUUUGCAUGACUACUGUUGUAUGGUACCAUCUUGUUGGCCAAUAAAUACAUCUUAUCCUAUGACCCUUUGCUAUGACCCUUUGCAAAUAAGUACAAGAUUGUUAAAUACUCGGUAUAAAUUGACUACUGCUGUGAGUUCCCUUUCAGCUUAUCGUAGGCAUACAUUAUUGCUAGCACGGUGAAGACAACCAACACGAAUGGUCAAGUAAACGUACCGGUACUUUUGUAUACCAACACCCUUGCUUAAAUGUACCGGUGUUACUCCCCACUAGCACAUAUAUUCUUAUAUGCUAGCCGGCUUGAAAAUUAACCGAUUAAAAUAAUUAUUUCAAGACAGAAAUAACUUAUCGGCUUCUCGAAGCAUGUGUAAUGUGAAUUCAAGGACUUGAUGGAAGUUGAAUCGCUUAAUCUAGAUUGCUUUCAGGAUUUUGGGUAACUAAAUUUAACAUUUGCACAUACAAAUGUUAAUGUACAAAUAUUAAAUAUAGUUACCCAAGCAGAAUAUGAAGAUACUCUAUAGUAUAUAUAUACUAUAUAAAUCUAGUUAACAUUUAGUCUAAAUGUUAAAUCUAGUUACCUAAAAUCCUGAAAGCAAAAUGUAUAAAUAUAUAUCUUUUAAGGAAUCCCAAAGCAAGAGUUCAGUGGCAUUCUAUAGUCCCAUGCUGCUAGUUUGAGUUGGUCGAAGCCAACUUAAAUAGGAGAGCUCUCUCACUUCUCUAAAUACGUAACUGAAGGAGAGAAGGGGGCUUGGUUACACAACGCACGCACGCACGCAUAUUUGCGUUCUUUUCGCGUAACCAACCGCGUGACUUGAAACUUGCGACGUAGCGUGCUGCCAAGUCAAGUUGAUAUAACCUUUUUGCCGUAGGCGUGUAAUCUUUUGACAACGGUCAUUGGAGGUGAUAAGCACGCAGUCAAUACCUUAAUCCUGAGUUAAUAGGGCGGUUACUACUGCCAAUUAGUGGGGCAAUUUUGUAGGGGAAACGGUUAGCAGAGGGCUACCAUCUUCUCUAUAAGAAGUUCUGGAGACGUCCAGGAACACACAUGUACAUGUGAGAGACCCACGAAUUCCUUCCCAUCUCCCUUUUCCAUCUGGUGAAGUGUGCUAUGGUACUGAGCUGCUGGAUCUCGCCGGCUCUUCUCCUUGGCGUGCACCGAGGAGGAGGGUGAGCGGUAUCUCCGAGCUAUUGCCGUCAGGAAGCCUGCACGAGGGACAACAAUAAAGUUUUUGGGUAGCGCAACUACGCAACCGCUCGAUUCGAUCGACUAUGUUCUGCGCUGCCUCAUCUUCGAUCUGCACUGCAACACGUAACCCUGCAGCAAGUCUACACAAGGACGGAGCACUAAUCUGUAAGUCCUAGAUUGGUUUCUUACAGAGUUGUAGGUUACACAAGAUCUAGAAUUGUUACAUACUUAUUAUUAUGGGUUACAUGAUGUUUUGUACGGUUACGUCUAUUUUGCAUAUGCUAUUUUUACAUACCGUUUACAUGCAUAUGUAAUGGUUACGCCUAGCUAUUUGAAUCUAGAAUUGGGUUACAUAGCAGUAGCAAUGACUUACGUAAUAUGCCUCAUGUUUAUAUCUGGUAGAAUUUAACACGUAUCUCCAACAUAUUUUGAGGCAGUAUAAAUUUCAAUUCCUUUUGCUGCUCUGUUAAAUCCCGUCUUUCGUGUGGCCCAACACUCUAGUAUGCAUGUAGCACCAAGCUUGUUUGAGCCGCUUUGUGCUCUGAUUUUGCUGUCUGUAUCAGGUUGGACUGUUUCUUUGUCUUGCGAUGUAUAGCUUCAUAUCUUCUAGAGGUUAGACAGCAAAACCCGCGUUCUCUUAAGGCAACAACUCGAAGAAUCUGCAGCGCUCCUGAUAUAUCACUGCUGCAGAAACAAUCUUUAGUACUGAUUUCCAACCCCCUUUAGUAUCGGUUUGGCAAUCAGUACCACUACGUCGGUACUAAAGGGAGUUCUCUAGAAUCGGGUCAAAUAACUGGUACUAAAAGUGCUCCUCUACUACCAGUUGGUAACACCAAUAGGUAGUAACUUUUUUUGCACCCAAAAAAUUAAAGAAAAACAGCCGGGAGGCUCGCGCACACACGCAUCAUGAGUAAUAUGCGCGUGCAUGGUUUGUGGGAUUCCAACCCACGACCAAGCUAUAAGCACGUAGUUACAAAAAAAUUAAACACUUAGACAUUUUAGAGCAUCCCAAAUAACUACAAAUUCUUUAGUUUACCAUAUACCAUAAAAUAUUAGUUAAAAUAAGAGCAUACGCACGUCGGAAGAGUCCCAAUGCACCGGUUGAGGAUCAGACCAGGCACUUUGAAUGCACAUGCCAUAAGAUAAUUCUGCAGGACGAUGAUUGCAAUAAUGGACCAUCGAGAAGAUAGGGGCGAUGGGGUUGCCUCAUCAAUUAUGACUUGGCGCAACAAGACCAGCAAAGUCUUUAUCGACAGGGGUGGAUCAAGGGGUGGGGCGGGUAGAGCUCCAAUCUUCCUACCGCCGCUCGAACAAUGGAGCCCCCCUUAGCCCCUCCAUAAAUUUUUAGGUAGAAGAAAAAAGAAGAGAAGGGAAGGAAGGGGAAGAAUAGGGAGCCCCUCCUAAGUAGGUCGCCAUCGUGCUUCCCAACGCAUGAUCGCCGCACCGCAUCCAUUCCUCUACAAGCCUCCAGCGUCUCUCCUGCCGCUACCUCUGAACCAUGUGCAGCUGCAGACCCAACUAGUGUCUUGUCACCCAUCUCAAUCCCAACAGAGCGGCGGCUCCUGCCAGCACAAAUCUCCCUCCGCCUGUUCUUCACGAUCGAUGGCCACCACAAGCAUAAACCUCGCCUUCGCAUCCACGCAAAAGGGUCGCCGGUGUGCCUUCUCGCAUCGCUUCUCAGCCUCCUUCACUUGCGGCUGGCCAAGAACCGUGCCACCACCUCGGGUGCGCGCCACCGCUCCAGGGCCGCUACCCCAUGCGUGCGGCCGCCGCCGGCCACCACGCGUGUGCAACCGUGUCGCACCGCUUCCCUGCUCUGUGCCACCACUGCUACUGCACCACCAGCUCCACCACCUUGGGCUGGUCGCCAGGGUGACUGAUUGGUGGAUUAUUACUACAAAUAAGUUCCUUAUUAUCUGCAACUACUAUUAACUCAGGGAUACAUGCGUCUUUUGCUUCUCCUGUUAAUAUGUCCUAAAAUAUCUAGAAUGCCUUAUAUUUCUGGACGGAGGAAGUAUUUGAAUAAAAUGAACCAAUUUUAAAAAAUGUGUUGUACACUACUACAGAAAGAACUAUCAGUGUCAAACCCAAAAAUGUCGUCACUGCCAGUUUUGGGCAUCGUUGGUGAAAGGUUGGCGGUGAUGGGUAUCCCCUUCAACAACGGCACUAGAGCUAACAGUGAUUGACAUUAGAAAACGAAAAAGGGGACCCACCUAGCCACCCCUGCAACCCGGCUGGCCGUGCCUCCCGUCAUCCCCACCACCUCGCCUCCCCCGUGACCCCCCGCCGGCGCCCUUGCGCCUAGCCCCCUCGCCUGCCUGGCCGGCCACCCUCGUCACGAGAGAGAGGGGUGCAUGUUGUAUAAUUGCGUGAAUUUUUAAUGUUUAAUUUCAUGUAAGUUUCAUAUAAUAAAUUGUACAAGUUUUAUUGUAUAUAUGAAUUCCAUAUAUAUAUAUUUAUAAUUUAAUGUAUGGUUUCAUGUGUAUAUUUCAAUAAUGUGUAUAUUUAGUAGAUAGCCGAUUUUCUUUUUCUACAAGACAAGGGUUGAUGUAUAAUUACGUGUAUAUGUUUAUUGUACGGGCAAUUAGGACAAGUUUUGUAUAAAUUUCUUUUAUUUCAUGGUUGUUGUAUGGUUUCAUGUAUAUACAUUUAUUGUACUACUUGAGACAAUUUUUAAUUUAAUGUUUCUAUGGUUACAUGUGUGUAUAACUAAUUGUAUUAUUAGUUAAGAUGGGAGCCAAAGAGGAUGAAAGGUAUAUAAUGGAGCAGAUUAUUGCUGGCGGUAGUGGCUCAAACGUUGCAAGAACCUACAUCAAGGGUGAGGGUAGCUAGGUGGACAUGUACCUCAACAUGUCCAGUGAUGGCAAUGACGAUGAGGAGCACGAGCAUGACGUUUAUGAUAGUGCGGAACAAGACAUUGCAGAAUUGGAAGGUUCUAAUGAGGUGUGCUUCAUGUUGAUGAUCUGGUUGGCUUUUUUUCUUUGGUCACACCUUAGUUACCAUAGAACUUCGUCUCGGGAGAAGAUUGGAGGUGCUAUGGUGAUUGGAAUUUUAUUGCCUCCAAAUAUGAUUUCCAUCGAAUCAUAUCCCUUGUAUUUAUCUUCUUUUUAUUUGUGAGAGCAUCUUCUUUAUGCUUGCAAAACAAUUCAAGUGCACAUACUACACCUAGGGUGAUGAUUAGGAGUAGAAACAAUUGCCAACAAACGAACACCACAUCCUAAGAUUCUUAACUUGUGGUAUAAUUAGUCUAGUAAAAAGAAAGAUAAAAACCUAAUGGGUGUACGUGAGUGCAAUGCGUAUAUGCAUAUGAGUGGAAGGCAUAUAAGCAAAGAUAAUAUUUACACAUAGAUCUAAGCACCAUGUUUACAACUAAGUUGCUGAAUUUCUCCAUAGCUAUAGAGAUUAAUGAACCAAGGUCAAAACACCAUGUCUAUCCCAAGAUCAGUAAUUCUUUAUAGCACAAGAAAAAGAAAGCGCAUUGCAAAGUUUAUAAACCAACCAAUGCAGCAUGAAAACAAGAUGAAUAGCUAGCAAGGUUUAUUAAACUGAAUGAUGACGGUCUGCAAGCAAGUUUGAACACCAUCUUUACACAAGAUUGCAAAUGGAAAAUUCCCAUAUGAAGAACUAACAUGGAUAUGAAAUCAUUCAUCAUAAAGCGUAAAGAACAACCAAGCCAACCAUAUGCAAAGCAUGAAUGGAAUGCAAUGAAGGUGCAAGAGAACAUUUUUGGAUGAACCCAUUAUGAUGAUGGCAAAAUGCGCCGUGCCCCCCAGCCCCCGCGGUGAGAUCCCGCCGCUCGCUGCCGCCAGACCCUAUUAGGCCUCCACCGGCAGGUCCACCCACGGUCCCGCGCGACGUGGCAGCCUCUUGGCUCUCGGCGCUCGCGGCACGCCAGUGCUGGCGCAGCCCCACCAGGCGACUACCCUCCCCCCAUAAGGCCUCGGCCCCUCCCCAGCGCCGCCCCCCAACACCAGGACUGCCUGCUGCCCCCCACCGUGAGGUAAUCGAAAUCGACUGCUCAAUCUCUCAAUCUGUUGAUAUGAUGCACACGGUUGCAAAAAUAGAUGUGUCAAAAUAGAUGUUUUGCCAAUUGCUAUAGAUGCAUACGGUUGACAUGAAGUCAAAAAUGACAUUUGGUUCCUUGUAGGCAGUCAAAAAUGAAGAAGUCAAAAAAUAUUGAUCUGAAAUCAAUGUGGGAAAGGGCUAUGAAGACACGCAGGUAGAUUCCCUUGUGAACUUUUUAUGUCGUUCGUCUAAAUAAUUUUUUGCAAUGGGCAUACCCUACUCUGAAAUCCUGGGUCCGCCACUGAUGAUGAUGGUCUAAAAAUAAACCAAGCCUAGAUUAAUUAGCCACAACUGAAAUUAAGCAAAGGUUAAUGUCAUUGACCCUAGCUCUAUCCUAGCUUUUACCAAAGUUCCGGCACAUAUAGUGGUUGGGCCCACUCUCUCUGCUUCCCUCUCUGCUGCAUGCACGCACACGAGCAACGGGAGGCCCGACGAAGCCCAGAAGGGUUCGGCCGAACCAGUAUGAGCGCCGCUCCCUCCCAGCCUUCGCGCAGAUGCUCCUCCAACGUUCCUUGACCCCUCCCUCAGCGUCCCGUUGGGUUUAACAUUGCAGGAGAGGAGUCCCUUUUUUAAAAUCUCAACCACCUCCUCUCCCCAUUCACUCCACUCUCAUCUCCAUCAAACUCACCAAGAUCCGCACCGGAAAUCCCUGCUUACCACCAUGGCUGGCAAAGCCCUCAUCCCUUUCACCAACUUGGGCUUGACCACUGAUCUCGAUGGGGAAAUCACUCUGGCAAAUAUGCGUGUAACACUGCCCCCUUUGCCGAGGGUUAAAGCCAAAACACUCAGCAAAGUGGAUAGUACCCCCCUUUUUACCCGUUUUGUCAUGUAUAACGGACCCCUCUCAAUUCACAAUAGACAUCAUCAUAGGCAUUUAUAAUAAACAAUCACAGGCAUAAUUCACAAUCACCAUUACAAGCAUUAUUCAUAAAUAUCACAGACAUAAUCCAAAGUAAGCAUGAAACAAGCCAUAAAUCCAAGUUCAAGUCACAACUAAGUUUCAUCCAAGUUCAAGUCACAAAUGCAAUGUCUAAAUCCAUGGAGGCCAAGGAGACCACUGCGACAAAUCUUGGUCUUCAUUAUUCGAAGCCGCCGAUUGAUUCUGCACAUAGGAUAGGACAUUCUGAGCUAACAUCUAAAGUUGUCAAAAUUAAAGUAUUCAAUCUUAAGCACAAUGUGUCAAAUGACUCACAGGAGUAGUUGUGGGUGGCUGAGGCGGAGGGAACAGCAUCGAUGGCGGUGGCAAAGAUUGACCCAUGCUCGAAGCAAAAUUCUGCAUGUACUGGAACAUCUGGUCCAUCCUCAUCCGAUUUUCUUCCUCCAUCCUCUGCCGCUCGGCCUCUAACCUCCGCUGAACCAUCUGCUCCAUCCUCGCCGCCAUCUCCUCUUGUUGCUUCCUUGCUGCUUCCACCUGGGCCUACAAUAUUUCAUUGCAAUGUUACAAUGCAAAGCUAAAGUAUAGCAACCAACGAACAAUGAAUGGAAGAGAAAGAACCUGGAGAGCCUCCAUCUGGAACUGUCCAAUGGUUGGUCGUAGCCGUAUCGCCGGGCUCGAGUCCGUGCUCCUUGCUUGGAUCUGGGAGAGAGUGGCAGUAGAGGCCGUGUUGAUUACGCCGUCGCCAAUCCAAUAUCGGCCAUGCUUCUUGCCUCCUCCCACCCUCAUCACGAUUUCUCCAUCAAUAUCCUCAGAGCUUGAAUCGAAGUCUGGCCCGUGAACCUCCCUUGCCAUCACUGUAUAUUCCUUUGCCGAGUGCCCGAGAUAAAGCACUCGGCAAAUAGAAAACACUCGGCAACUUUACUGUUUCCCGUAGUGUCGCUAUUUUUGCAGGUUCUCGACCAGGCCAGUUCUUUGGGCCAACCUAUCAUUCACGACUUAAACAUACGGUGGCUGUAGAAAUGUUCUAUUCUUUUCAACAAUACCAGCUGGUUCCUCCGUUUUUAUUCCACCAAUACAAGCACCACCUUGUAACAUUUCCUAUGUUUUUUUUUCCUUUCGUCUGUUUUCUACAUGCGUUGCUCUUUCAUGCAUUUUUUUCCAUUCCUGUAUUCCAAAUAGGUCUACAUGAACACAAAAUGAACUAGGGGACAGAAAAAGCCAGUGAAGCCAAUUUUGAGCUUCACCAGCUACUUGCUACAUAAAGUGUGCUAUAGUGACGUGUUUUAGCAAAACAUGUUAUCAAUGACUUGACAUUGGUGACGUGUUAAAACGCGUUAUCUCAAUGGCAAAUCAUUGGUGACGUGUUUUAAAAAAACAUGUCACCGUGAGAGUCAUUGGUGAAGGGUAAUUAUAAUGCGUCACUAAUGUUGUAGCAUUAGUUAUGAUAAUUUAGUAACGCAAAAAUCUACCAUCAGUAUUGAGCUUUAGAGCCAUCGCUAAUGUGGGUUUCUUACAUAGUGAUGCAAGCUCUACAAGGUGCUGUUGCUGCCAUUUUAAAGCAUCCCAUGACUACAUGUUAAUAACAUAGUUUACCAUAUAUCAUAAAAAUAUUAGUUACAAUAAGCACAUACGCAUGUGGAAGAGUCCGAAUGCACCGGUUGAGGACUAAACACAUUGAAUUACUAGAACCAAAUGUGUGUUUAGAACAAAGACAGGGGUCAAGGUUUGGGUAACCGCAUUAAAAACAUUGGAUUUUACUGUACAUGAACACUUAGUUACCAUUACCAUGCCUUGAGCACCUAGUUACAACAAACAUUAAUUUAGCCACUUUAGAGCUUCCAGAAUCGCUAUAAAUAAUAUACCUACGCCGUACCAUGAAAACAUCAAGAAGAGAGACGGAUACAUGGACCACCAUCAAGCGAGUAGUGACAGCACGCACAAGAAUACCCGGAACCUGUUAGCUUGUCUGUAGUGAUCUGUUUUCUUCCCCAUAAAAUCCAUGAGUAUUGCCACAAAUAAUGAAAGAGGCUGACCAAGCUAGCAAGGAGGUAGAGCAAACGUGAUACACGGCCUGCCAAGAUUGCCCUGGAUACGCCAAUAAGAGCGACAGAUACAUGGAUCACACCAAUAUGGUGAAACGUAUAUUCAUCACACAAGCAAAGCUGGUCAGUUUAUCCAUGGUCAAAUUGUGGUCUUUGUUUUCACUUGAGAGCUAAUUGAGGCACUAUAAUAUGGGCAGGCCUAUCUUCAACAGACAUGACAGCUACAGGGAACUUGACAUAAUUUGCUGGGCCGCCUGUGCACAAUUAUUUGUUUUAUUGUCCUUGCAUAGAAUGCUAAAAUACUCUUUACAAAAUGUUGGAUCUAAUAUUUGAAAUAUAGAGUAGUAAUCAUAUAUUGAUCAACAACUUGAAAUUAUCUGUACAUUCUCGGUGAAGCUGUUGAACUAAUUUUUGCAAAUUAUUAAUUCAUCUCAUUACGUAAAGAAAAAAGUAAGUGGAUAAGAUAUUUCGUGGACCACAUCACUGCAAACAUGUCAUGGAGAGACAGACCAAGGAGGCAGGACGUGAUACACGACUUACCCUAGGUUGCCGUGGAACCGCCAAGAAGAGAUACAGAUACAUGGACCACACCAUCUUGGGAGUAGUGACAGCAUAUAUGCAGAAGAAUACCCCGUGCCUAUUUGCAUGCAUGUCUCAAGUGAUCUGUUUUCUUCAGAAAAUACAUGAGCAUUGCCAGAAAGAAUGGCAAGAGACAAACAUGUCAUAGAGACUUGCAUGUCUUGCCUUGGAUACGCCAAGAAGAGGGACACAUACAUGGAUAACACAAAUCUAGUGACACGUAUAUUCAUCACAAAGGCAAAUCUGAUAAUUUUAUCCAUGGAGCAGACCAAGGAGAAAUUGAUGACGGACAUGUGAUCUCUGUAUUCAGUUGAAAGCUAAUUGAGCUACACUAAUAUGAGCAGGACUAUAUUCAAGAGACUUGUUGAGAGCUACAGGGAACUUGUAAUAAUUUGCUGGGCGGCCUGCGCACAAUGAUUUGUUAUACAUAGUUGAAAUAUUUCAAGAAUUUAUCAACCUCAUACUCUGAAACCCUUGGUGCAAUGUACUCUGCUUUCCGAGGUAGACUGUUCACGUAAAAUGAGGUCAUGCGUAAGACGGAAUCGGAUUGGAUUCACAGGGAAUCAGAUUUGGAUAGCACCUUUUAGCAGGUUUUUAGUCAAAUGCAAAUUCGGAUCCACAUGUGGUUGAAUGCGAGUUCAAAAUUCUACUUGGAUAUCCAUUUAAUUUAGGUGAUAGCAAUUAGCACAAAAUGUUGGAUGAACAAAAUCAUAGUUAGACAUACAAUUACAUGUAUGGUUAAAGUAUAAUACAAUACACCAAGAUUAUUCCUUGAAAAUAUUUCUUAAAAAUAUUAUAAUAAAUGAAUAAAUAUAAUUGUGGCCACCAACAAAUAGUCGGUGGUCGCUAAGUUGGAGCCAUUUCUGGUUACUAAUGCGGCCUUCUCCUCGACCAGCGACGACAGCUGAGCUUGUUCCUUCUGACACUAAAUCAUCAGAGUCUUCCCUCCACUACUAUAGAAUGCACCUUUAGCACCAAUUGGGAAAUCCCCUUCAGUAUUGGAUGCUGCAACCAGUGCUAUAUAUCAAAAUGGAGACUAAAAGCCUCGGUCUUGGGUACCGGUUGCAUAACGCAUUACUAAAGGAGGCAAAAGAGAAAUGUAACAAAAAAAAUAUUUUGAAUUCCAAGAAUGUUUCACUAUUCAAGAUGACUAGCUGAGAGUCAACAGACAAGAUACUAGGAAUGUGGGUGCUUGAAUGCAUUUGUACAGAGGUCAUACUAUUUACAAACUCUUCUAUGUUUCCAUAUGACUACCUACUUCAAUGUCACGCGAGCCAUUCAGCUGGACACAUGGCACACUAGCUUGCAUGUCGAAUCCAUGAUUAAUUAUUUCCACUUGUGAUCUCUUACCAGUAUUUGUCCAGACUAGAAACGUGCAACACAUUUUUAGGAUAUGGACACGCAUAUAUUUGGACUAGUAUACAGGUCACCUUUGGAUGCGUACAAGGAUGACCGGGAGGGACUAGAAAUGGUCUAGUUUUGAUUGGACUACAAAACUUUUUGUACAGUGAAUAGAGAAUAUAUAUUAUUGUUGGAAUACGAGGUAGGCUACACUAUCGCAAUUCUGAUAUUCUACCGCGUAUAACCAAGAAGAACUGUCGUAUAAGGAUCACGGGAUUACCACUCGACGCACUACUGGUGCGGAAGAUGUAGAUAUGCGUCGAUGCAGUGAAGACGAUCACGUAGUCGUAUGUAGUCGAUCAACGUAGUCGUACAUAGUCGAUCACGUCCAGCAGCUCCUCAGCAGCUCGUCCACGUGCAGCAAGAUCGCCUCCGGUACCGCGGCUCGUCGUUGGCUUGUCGUGGCUCGUCGACGGCUCGUCGGCGGCUCGUCCAAGUGCUGCAGGCGCAACACCUCCAAGGUAUCCACACGUGCAGGGAGGAAGCGUCGCAAGCCGGACUGCUAGAUCCACGAGUUGCAACAGGCGAGGGCGUGGGAGGCGCGGCAGGUGUGUUUCGCCAAAAAGGUGUAAACCCUAGGGCGCCCCCACCCCUCUAUUUAUAGAGGUUCCUGACGGGCCUCUGGAUCCGAGGCCCAUUAGUACUUCUAAACCUAAUCCAACUCGGAUCAGAUCCGAAUUGGGCUUCCAGCCCCUUAAGUGUGUGACCCUAUAAGUUCGGAUACGUAUAGACAUGGCCCGAGUACUCCUACUCGGCCCAAUAGUCGGUAGCGGCCUCUAGCAAGACGUGCCAACUCCUAUACGCACACGAAGAUCAUAUCAGACGAACCAUCACAACAUAAUAUACAUGCUAUUCCCUUUGCCUCACGAUAUUUGGUCUAGCUUCAAGCCGACCGCUCUUUCUCAGUCCUGUGAUUCGGAAUCCCUUUGUAGGUUAACUCUUAACCGUACGUAGCAUGGCCAUGCAUUUUCGGAUCUGAUCACUCGAGGGGCCCAGAGAUAUCACUCUCAAUCAGAGAGGGGCAAAUCCCAUCUUGAUUGACCAUGUCUCAUAGCAUGCUUCUUGACAAACCUAAAAACUACCUUUAUAACUUCCCUGUUACGGCGUAGUGUUUGAUAGCUCCUAAGUAGGUCGAUCCACAUCUAGAAUACAUGCGACAAUUUCAGGUCUAAGGACAAAGCGUAUAUGUUGUUUAAAGAGAGAACUACUUCUCGUGUUGGGUCAGUCCCAGCACAUGUCUCCACAUGUGUCCACAUUAUUAGUUCAACAUCUCCAUGUCCAUGACUUGUGAAACAUAGUCAUCAACUAAUACAUGUGCUAGUCUAAUAUUCAUGUGUGUCCUCACAUGAACUCCGACUAGGGACAACUUUAGAAUAACCAUACAAGUAAAGAGUUUCACAUACAAUUCACAUAAUUGCAAAUCAAUUCAAGUAGCCUUCAAUGGAUAUUCAAUGAACACAACAUACAAAUCAUGGAUACAAAUGGAAUAUCAUCAUCUCUAUGAUUGCCUCUAGGGCAUACCUCCAACAGUCUCCCACUUGCACUAGAGUCAAUCUAGAAGGUACCUAAUACCCAUAGCUCUUACAUGCGCAUCAUGCUUAGCCUGCGGGAGUGGUUUUGUCAACGGAUCAGAAAUGUUCAGAUCCGUGUGUAUUUUGCAUAUCUUGAUCUCACCCCGGUUAACGAAGUCUCGAAUGAGAUGAAAUCGCCGCAUUACAUGUUUGUUCUUCUGGUGGUUCCUUGGCUCCUUUGCUUGCGCAAUUGCCCCAUUGUUAUCACAGUAGAGAUUCAAUGGGCUGGACCCAUUCGGGAACACACCAAGCUCAAUGAGGAAAUUCCUUAUCCAAACACCUUCCUUCGCGGCUUCCGAAGCCGCGAUGUACUCGGCUUCUGUCGUAGAAUCGGCCACCGUCUCCUGCUUGGAACUCUUCCAACUAACAGCACCACCAUUUAGCGUGAACACAAAUCCUGUUUGUGACUUUGAAUCAUCUCUGUCGGUUUGGAAACUAGCAUCGGUGUAACCUGUUACAACGAGCUCCUCCUCACCUCCAUAGACGAGGAAUAUAUCUUUAGUCCUUCUCAAGUACUUAAGAAUGUUUUUCACCGCUGUUCAGUGACUCUCACCUGGAUCAGAUUGGUGUCUGCUUGUCAUACUUAGCACAUAUGAAACAUCUGGGCGAGUACUUAUCAUUGCAUACAUGAUAGAUCCAAUAGCCGAGGCAUAUGACACUCUACUCAUGUGAUCCCGCUCAUCAGCAGUCGAAGGACACUGAGUCUUGCUGAGAUGUAUGCCAUGUGACAUAGGCAAGAACCCUUCCAUGCUGAACCGCUUCAACACUUUGUCAAUGUAAGUAUCUUGGCUUAAACCUAUAAGCCUUCUCGAUCUAUCUCUAUAGAUCUUAAUGCCCAGAAUAUAUGCCGCUUCCCCUAAGUCCUUCAUCGAAAAACUAUUUUUCAGUGAAGUCUUUAUGGACUCAAGCAUAGGAAUGUUAUUUCCAAUCAGUAAUAUGUCAUCCACAUAUAAGAUUAGAAAUACUACAGAGCUCCCACUAACCUUCUUGUAAACACAAGACUCUUCUUCGUUCUUGGUGAAGUCAAACCCUUUGACCACUUCAUCAAAACGAAUGUUCCAACUCCUAGAUGCUUGCUUCAAUCAAUAAAUGGAUCUCUGAAGCUUGCAUACCUUUCCAGCAUUUUUCGGAUCGACAAAACCCUUGGACUGUAUCAUAUACACGUCCUCAGUUAGGUUUCCAUUCAGGAAAGCUGUCUUGACAUCCAUCUGCCAUAUCUCAUAAUCGAAAUAUGCAGCCAAACUUGAUUGUCUCCCAUGGACUCUAUUUCGGAUUGCAUGGCAUUCUGCCAUUUUUCGGAGUCUGGGUCCAUCAUUGCUUCUGCAUAUGUCACAGGCUCAUCAUUGUCCAACAAUAAUAUUUCCUGCAUUUCGCGGAGCCUUGCCGACCUUCGUGGUUGUGGCGGUGCUUCUCUUGCCAUGGGUAUCUCAACUUGUUCUGCUACGUUAGCAUCACUCAUUGAUUCUUGCCCGAUCGGCUCAUCUUGAACUUCUUCAAGAUGCACUGUCUUUCCACUCUUUUCUCCUUUGAGAAACUCUUUCUCUAGGAAAACCCCGUUCCGAGCGACAAACACUUUGCCUUCUGAUCAGUUGUAAAAAUAAUAUCCCAAAGUUUCCUUUGGAUAUCCCACGAAAAUGCACUUAUCCGACUUGGGUGCGAUCUUGUCCGACUGAAGUCGCUUGACAAACACAUCACAUCCCCAAAUCUUUAGAAAAGACAAACUAGGAACCUUUCCAGUCCAUAUCUCAUAUGGUGUCUUAACUACGGAUUUAGAUGGUACCCUAUUAAGUGUGAAAGCUGCUGUUUCUAGAGCGUAUCCCCAAAAUGACAACGGUAGGUCCGACUGGCUCAUCAUUGAUCGAACCAUGUCUAACAAAGAUCGAUUACGUCGCUCGGACACACCGUUUCUCUGAGGUGAUCCAGGCGGCGUAAGUUGUGGAACAAUUCCGCAACUCUUUAGAUGAUUGCUAAACUUGUGGCUCAAAUACUCGCCUCCACGAUCAGAUUGUAAGGCCUUAAUUUUCUUGACACGCUAAUUUUCAACUUCAUUCUGAAAAUCCUUGAACUUUUCAAAGGUUUCAGACUUGUGCCUCAUCAAGUAGACAUAGCCAUAUCUACUAAAAUCAUCAGUGAAAGAUAUGAAGUAUUGGAAUCCUCCUCUAGCCGUCGUGCUCAUUGGUCCGCAUACAUCACUAUGUACGAGUUCCAACAAGUCUACUGCUCUCUCAGGAAAUCCUGUGAAAGACGUCUUGGUCAUCUUGCCUAGCAAGCAAGCCUCACAUGUCUCGUAUGAUUCAAAAUCAAACGAAGUUAGAAGUCCAUCAGAAUGGAGCUUCUUCAUGCGUUUUUCACUUAUAUGACCCAAACGACAAUGCCACAAGUAGGUAGGACUCAAAUCAUUAGGCCGAGGCCUUUUAGCACUUACAUUACAGACAGGUGAACCAUCAAGAUUUAAAACAAAUAAUCCAUUCACAAUGGGUGCAAAAGCCAUAAACAUAUUAUUCUUAGAGAUCACACAACCAUUGUUUUCACUCGCAAAUGAAUAACCAUCCUUCAUCAAGCAUGAAGGAGACAAAAUGUUUCGACUUAAACUAGGAACAAAAUAACAAUUAUUCAACUCCAUAAUAAAUGCUGACGGGAGGUGGAGUUGCAUCGUCCCGACGGUCAACGCAGCAACUCUUGCAUUAUUGCCCACGCGGAAAUCAACUUCUCCUCUUUCCACGCUUCUACUUCUUAUCAUUCCCUGCAUCGAAUUGCAAAUAUGAGCAACCGAUCCGGUAUCAAAUACCCAAGAAUUAAUAAUUGUAUCAGCGAGAAAUAUGUUGUCUAUGACAUUAACAACAAGCGUACCUGAGGUAGAAGUACUCUUACUUCCUCCAUUCUUCAACGAAGCUAGGUACUGCUUGCAGUUUCUCUUCCAGUGACCAAGUUCAUGACAGUAAAAGCACUCUUUGUCUGGAGCAGGUCCAGGUCCAGCUUUAACCUUGGGCGCUCGCUGGGUUUGGCUUGGAAAUUCCAGCCUUGCCCUUCUUCUUCCAAGAAUUGCCCUUCUUCUUAAAGCUAGGCUUGUUCUGUAUAGCCAUCACAUGGCUAGUACAAGCGCUUUUCUUGAUGUCUACCUCUGCUGUCUUGAGCAUACCACACAGUUCAUUCAAACCCUUCUCCGUCCCAUGCAUAUGGUAGUUCGAGAUGAAGUUCCCAUAGCUAGGCGGAAGAGAUGAAAGAAUGAAGUCAGUGGCCAACUCUUUGCCCAUUGGGAAGCCCAGCUUCUCCAAUCGCUGAGUGUAACCAACCAUGUUGAUUACAUGUGGUCCUACUGCUGCGUCUUCUGCUAGCUUGCACUCCAGAAAAGCUUUGGACACAUUGAACCUUUCAGUCCUAGCCUGUGUCUGGAACAUGUCCUUGAGCGCCACGAUCAUAUCGUGUGCCUCAUGAUUUGUUUCGAACUGCAUCUGCAGCUCGGGUUCCAUGCAAGCAAGCAUAAGGCAGCUUACCUCAAGAUUAGCAUCAAAUGCCUUCUUGUAAGCAGCCUUAACGGCAGCAGAUGCAUCAUCAGCAGGUACUGGUGGUAGUGGGGUAUCUAGAACAUCUUCCUUUUUAUCGGCCCUGAGAACAAUUCUCAGGUUACGGAUCCAAUCCGAGUAGUUUGUUCCAUUCAACUUGUCCUUCUCAAGGACCGAGCGCAAAGCAAACGAUGUGGUGGUGUUGCUAGGUGCCAUUUAAUCUACAACAAAAGUAAUGCAAAAUACACUAAGACAAACGUAUCCAUGAUAGAGCAAAUUACAUUAAACUAUUUUAACAGAAUCUACUCCCACUAAAAUCAAUAUCCCUCUAUUGAAACUUAGUGAUUCAGGAUCCACAACUAACAAGUCUACUAGUGAGCUUUAGCAUCACCGCUAGCAAACGAGGUAGAUCGGUAAGCAACUUUUGCUAAUCAUAUCACAUAUGACUCCUGUUGUUGGGUGACAUCUCCAUGUCUCGGCGCCCAACCAUUAUGCCCCAAGGUCCUUAACCGUUAAGAUGACCUCGUUAAGCAAACCAACCCUUAUGCGUGUAAGUGUCCGACACAAACCCGUCUAGUCAAGGAAAACUAGUGGCACCCUAAUUUCAUAGACCCACCACUAAUUGUACAAGACAUGGGACGGUGCAAGUUUUAGUUGGGAGGGCAUACUAACUUAAAUUUUUUGUGAGGGAUCGUUCUACUUCUAACAUCACAGCAUGCAGAAAGUAAAACAUAAACAGAAUAGCAUUCACACAGCUGUGACACAGUAUGGCCCGUUUUUAUAUGGUGAUCUCCAUCUCCAUAGAACCUGUUCACCAUGGUGAUCUCCAUCUCCAUGUUCCAUGUGCGCCAUCCUCCUGGUGAGGAGUCCUCCAAGAACUAGAACAUGCUAUUACACCUAAUAGCUAGUAAAGAAUCUAGUAAUGAAGAUUACAUAGUUGCUUGGAUCAUCACAGAUUGGUACGCAGACCAUUAAAUACAAUAAAGUGACAACACAUAUGGCUCCUGCCGUGUUGCCGUACGCGCGACACGCAGGUCACGAAUGAGUUACACACAUGCAUCACAUACACAAGGGGGCCAUACUGAUCACAAGAUACAUACAUACAUCCUGCAAAACAGAGUUAGGCGUCCUAACGUUCCAAACUUCGAAGGCCCGAAACUCCAUCUUCCAAGCCGAAUUUGGGAAAUCUAAUUUUGCCGAAAACGGCAAAGCGGUUGAAUUUCAUGUGUAACUUUUUCUGUAGAUCAAUUUUCAUAUAAAAUUCGCCCCGAUCCGAGAUCGUACCGAAAAGUUACGGCUGAUUUACCGAAGCAUACGCAUACGGCAAAAAUUCCGACCCCGGCAGUAGAUCCCAUCUACUAUUGCACAUCUAAUGCGCCUGGCGUAUGAUCCUGGAUUUCGAUUCGACCAAUCAUAUUGAUCUUCGCUCACUGCAACUGGAAUUACGUGUAUCACUUAACUCGUCGGCGGCUCGUCGGCGGCUCAUCCAAGUGCUGCAGGCCCAACACCUCCAAGGUAUCCACACGUGCAGGGAGGAAGCGUCGCAAACCGGACUGCUAGAUCCGCGAGUUGCAAUAGGCGAGGGCGUGGGAGGCGCCGCAGGUGUGUUUCGCCAAAAAGAUGUAAACCCUAGGGCGCCCCCACCCCUCUAUUUAUAGAGGUUCCUGACGGGCCUCUGGAUCCGAGGCCCAUUAGUACUUCUAAACCUAAUCCAACUCGGAUCAGAUCCGAAUUGGGCUUCCAGCCCCUUAAGUGUGUGACCCUAUGGGUUCGGAUACGUAUAGACAUGGCCCGAGUACUCCUACUCGGCCCAAUAGUCGGUAGCGGCCUCUAGCAAGACGUGCCAACUCCUAUACACACACGAAGAUCAUAUCAGAUGAACCAUCACAACAUAAUAUACAUGCUAUUCCCUUUGCCUCACGAUAUUUGGUCUAGCUUCAAGCCGACCGCUCUUUCUCAAUCCUGUGAUUCGGAAUCCCUUUGUAGGUUAACUCUUAACCGUACGUAGCAUGGCCAUGCAUUUUCGGAUCCGAUCACUCGAGGGGCCCAGAGAUAUCACUCUCAAUCAGAGAGGGGCAAAUCCCAUCUUGAUUGACCAUGUCUCAUAGCAUGCUUCUUGACAAACCCGAAAACUACCUUUAUAACUACCCUGUUACGGCGUAGCAUUUGAUAGCCCCUAAGUAGGUCGAUCCACAUCUAGAAUACAUGCGACAAUCUCAGGUCUAAGGACAAAGCGUAUAUGUUGUUUAAAGAGAGAACUACUUCUCGUGUUGGGUCAGUCCCAGCACAUGUCUCCACAUGUGUCCACAUUAUUAGUUCAACAUCUCCAUGUCCAUGACUUGUGAAACAUAGUCAUCAACUAAUACAUGUGCUAGUCUAAUAUUCAUGUGUGUCCUCACAUGAACUCCGACUAGGGACAACUUUAGAAUAACCAUACAAGUAAAGAGUUUCACAUACAAUUCACAUAAUUGCAAAUCAAUUCAAGUAGCCUUCAAUGGAUAUUCAAUGAACACAACAUACAAAUCAUGGAUACAAAUGGAAUAUCAUCAUCUCUAUGAUUGCCUCUAGGGCAUACCUCCAACAAUUAUUUCAUGUAAAUUUUUGACAAUUUUUUAAAAUUGUUUGAUAUUUUUUAAAUUUUUUUUAAAAUAACUUUGCCGAGUGUCCUAUUGUAGACACUCGGCAAAGCAGCCUUCACCGAGUGUUACCCCUGGGACACUCGGCGAAUUAAUGCCCGGCCGCUCAAGAAUAUGUGCCCGGCCCCCUCACUCUCCCGGCCCCCCUCACUCUCACUCCCCUCACUCCCUCCUCUCUCCCUCCUCUCUCCCUCUCGCCGCCGCCCGAAACCCCCGCCGCCGCCCGCCGCCCGGCAUGCCGCCCAGCGCCCCCCGCCGCCGCCCGGCGCUCCCGAAUCCGCCGCCGCCCGCCCGGCGCCCGGCCCCCGGAUCCGCCGCCGCCGGCCGCCCGGCGCCCCCGGAUUCGCCGCCGCCCGCCCGGCCCCCGGCCCCCGGAUCAGCCGCCGCCCGCCGCCCGGCGCACGGCGCCCCCGGAUCCGCCGCCGCCUGCCCGGCGCCCGGCCCCUGGCCCCCUGAUCCGCCGCCGCCCGCCCGGAUCCGCCGCCGCCCGCCCGGCGCCCGGCCCCCGGCCCCCGGAUCCACCGCCGCCCCCCCGGCCCCCGGAUCCGCCGCCCGCCCGUCCCCUCCACCGGAUCCGCCGGCGCCGGGGCCUGAAGAGAAGAGAAGAGGAGAGGAUGGUGGCGGCGGCGGCCGCGGCGGCGGAGCAGGUGGCAGAGCAUGCAUGAUUUUUUUUUAUUUUUUCAAUAAUUGUUCGCCAAGUGUUUUCUGGGCACUCGGCAAAGUCUUUGCCGAGUGCCCGACACAAAACACUCGGCGAACCAGUGUUUGCCGUCAAGAUUUUUGCCGUGUGUCGUUUGCCGAGUGUUACACUCGGCAAACGCUUUGUCGAGUGUUUUUGGGGUUUCGCGGAGUGACCCUGGCACUCGGCAUCACGCAUGUUUCCCUUAGUGAACUUGAAAUUAUCUGUACAUUCUCGGUGAAGCUGUUGAACUAAUUUUUGCAAAUUAUUAAUUCAUCUCAUUACGCAAAGAAAAAAGUAAGUGGAUAAGAUAUUUCGUGGACCACAUCACUGCAAACAUGUCAUGGAGAGACAGACCAAGGAGGCAGGACGUGAUACACGACUUACCCUAGGUUGCCGUGGAACCGCCAAGAAGAGAUACAGAUACAUGGACCACACCAUCUUGGGAGUAGUGACAGCAUAUAUGCAGAAGAAUACCCCGUGCCUAUUUGCAUGCAUGUCUCAAGUGAUCUGUUUUCUUCAGAAAAUACAUGAGCAUUGCCAGAAAGAAUGGCAAGAGACAAACAUGUCAUAGAGACUUGCAUGUCUUGCCUUGGAUACGCCAAGAAGAGGGACACAUACAUGGAUAACACAAAUCUAGUGACACGUAUAUUCAUCACAAAGGCAAAUCUGAUAAUUUUAUCCAUGGAGCAGACCAAGGAGAAAUUGAUGACGGACAUGUGAUCUCUGUAUUCAGUUGAAAGCUAAUUGAGCUACACUAAUAUGAGCAGGACUAUAUUCAAGAGACUUGUUGAGAGCUACAGGGAACUUGUAAUAAUUUGCUGGGCGGCCUGCGCACAAUGAUUUGUUAUACAUAGUUGAAAUAUUUCAAGAAUUUAUCAACCUCAUACUCUGAAACCCUUGGUGCAAUGUACUCUGCUUUCCGAGGUAGACUGUUCACGUAAAAUGAGGUCAUGCGUAAGACGGAAUCGGAUUGGAUUCACAGGGAAUCAGAUUUGGAUAGCACCUUUUAGCAGGUUUUUAGUCAAAUGCAAAUUCGGAUCCACAUGUGGUUGAAUGCGAGUUCAAAAUUCUACUUGGAUAUCCAUUUAAUUUAGGUGAUAGCAAUUAGCACAAAAUGUUGGAUGAACAAAAUCAUAGUUAGACAUACAAUUACAUGUAUGGUUAAAGUAUAAUACAAUACACCAAGAUUAUUCCUUGAAAAUAUUUCUUAAAAAUAUUAUAAUAAAUGAAUAAAUAUAAUUGUGGCCACCAACAAAUAGUCGGUGGUCGCUAAGUUGGAGCCAUUUCUGGUUACUAAUGCGGCCUUCUCCUCGACCAGCGACGACAGCUGAGCUUGUUCCUUCUGACACUAAAUCAUCAGAGUCUUCCCUCCACUACUAUAGAAUGCACCUUUAGCACCAAUUGGGAAAUCCCCUUCAGUAUUGGAUGCUGCAACCAGUGCUAUAUAUCAAAAUGGAGACUAAAAGCCUCGGUCUUGGGUACCGGUUGCAUAACGCAUUACUAAAGGAGGCAAAAGAGAAAUGUAACAAAAAAAAUAUUUUGAAUUCCAAGAAUGUUUCACUAUUCAAGAUGACUAGCUGAGAGUCAACAGACAAGAUACUAGGAAUGUGGGUGCUUGAAUGCAUUUGUACAGAGGUCAUACUAUUUACAAACUCUUCUAUGUUUCCAUAUGACUACCUACUUCAAUGUCACGCGAGCCAUUCAGCUGGACACAUGGCACACUAGCUUGCAUGUCGAAUCCAUGAUUAAUUAUUUGCACUUGUGAUCUCUUACCAGUAUUUGUCCAGACUAGAAACGUGCAACACAUUUUUAGGAUAUGGACACGCAUAUAUUUGGACUAGUAUACAGGUCACCUUUGGAUGCGUACAAGGAUGACCGGGAGGGACUAAUGGAUACAAGGAAGGGACCAUCAGGAUUAAUAUUGACAUAUGCCACAUGACAAUCUUCAUUGUCAUGCAAUCCCUAUCAACAAUCAUGGAAUCCCUAGUGUACUAAUCCCUGGAGGGUUGUGUGGAAAUUUAUUUUACCUUGCGGUGAAAAUCUCAUGAGCAGUCAUUAGUUAAGCUGACUAGCUGAGAUAUAAUAGACAAGCUAGUAAGAUUGGGAGCAUCAAUGCAUCCAUACAGGGUCACAAUAUCCUUUCCAUUCACUUUUAUAUAUAACCCUACGAAUACAAGUCCAACGAAAUGCGGGCCUUUCGAUCAAGAUAAAUUAAAUGGCCCACUUGUAUUUCUAAUCCAGGAUUAACUAUGCCCUCUGUUCAUCUCUUGCAAGCACGUGCAACACAUUUUCACGAUAUGGACAUGCAUGGAGGUUAUUAUACUGUUUGGACAAACUCUGAUGUGCCAUGACCUAAAUGCUUAGGGCCUGUUUGGUUUGAGUUGCUUAUUAUAAGCAACUUAAAGUUGCUUAAAGUUGCUUAUUUGAAGUUGCUUAUUUUUAGUCUAAACUGUUUGGAUACCCUUGCUUAUGAGCAUUGAAUGAGUUGGACAUUGUCAAAUUUGCCCCAUGUGUUGCUACCCCUCCAAUUUGCCUCCCCACCCUUCUUCUUCCUGCACACGUCCGAUCCCGGGGGCCGACGGCGGGCAGGGAGCAGCAGCAGCUGGCCAGGGCGGCGGUGGGGCGGGAGCGGCGGCGCACACCAGCACGCGCUCGCACGCCAGGUGCUAGGGCGCGGCGAGGCAGUCGUCGUAGCCCACCGGGAGCGGGUGCUCGGGCGCGAGGCGGUACUCGACGGAGAUGCCGAGCGUCGGGCGCGCGGCGGCGAGCGCGUUGAGGAAGCGAUGGUAGUGCGGCGACGUCGCGGACUCCGCCACGAAGCCGCCGCCGUGGACGUACACCACCACGGGCAGCUUCGUCUUGCCGUCGGCGGCCGCGGCCGCGGCCUGGGGUGGCAGGUAGAGGCGGACGGAGCAGGAGCCGAGGUCGACGUCCCUGGAGUCGACGCCCGUGGCGGCGUCCAGGCUAGGCCCGACCGGCGGCGGCACGAGCGGGCGCUCGAUGCGGCCGCUCUUGUAAAUCCGACGGGUCUGUGCGGAGGCGGGCGGCGGGCGGGAGCGGCGGGUGGGAGCGGCGGCAGGUGGUGCGGAGGCCGGCGGCGGCGGGUGGCGCGGAGGAAGGGGAGCUGGUGAGUGGUGACAGGGGAGGGGGGGAGAGAGAGGGGGGGGUAGGGUGCAUUGAAUGAGGGCAGGAGGUGUAAAGUGCACCUUUUAGUCCCCAUGAGCAACCAUAAGCAGCCCAAGAGUUGCUUAUUUGCUUAUAAUAAGCAACCUCAUAAGCAAGAGUGAUUGGUUUCAUAAGCAACUUAUUUGCUUAUUUUAAGUUGCUUAUGCAUAAGCAUGUGAAACCAAGCAGGUCCUUAACCUAUGGUUGUGGCACCACACAGUACAUAGUAUUUAAUAAUGCUAUUCGUUUGGUAUGUGCACAAGGGCACGCAUGAAAUGUCUGGCCCACGGUAAACAAGUACGGACGCUGCAAAUAAUCUACUCUGCUCGUCCAGUCCCUAGCCUAUAAAUAGAUGCCAUGCUAGCUCUUGUUGUGCUCACAAUUAAUCCUGACUACACACGAGCUUCUCUCCCUGGCCAAGACACAAUCAUAGUAUGAUGAAGAACAUGGCACUAGCCGGCAAUGGUAUGAAGAACUUAAUCCUCGCUGUUCUCUUACUGUGUCUAGUUAUAGGGCAGAUACAAGUGGAAGCUAAGAGCUGCUGCCCAUCCAUUACUGCAAGAAAUAUCUACAAUGCCUGCCGUAUCACGGGUACAUCCCGUCCAACGUGUGCAAAACUGUCAGGCUGCAAAAUUAUCAGCGGGGACAAAUGCAAGCCCCCUAACGACCACCUCACCCUUGACCCGGACACUGGUAAAUAAUAAAUUUAUCUCACUUGAUUUCUUCGUGUUUUGAGUCGUUAAUGUAUUUUCCAUCUGAUGAAACGUAUUGGUUUUGCAUUGAAGAGGAAGUUAAUGUGCUUAACUUCUGCAAGUUGGGGUGUGCGUCGUCUGUGUGCAACAACAUCAACGCUGGUAAGCACCUUUUGCUCAGACGGAGAAAACAAUAAUCAUUAAUUAGCGGCAGCUAGAAUCCUAUAAUCUAAUAUAUUUAUAUAUAUAUAUAAUUUUAUCAGCUCUGGGAAAUGAAGAGGCGAACGAUGCCGUUGAGAGUUGCGACCAAGCCUGCUCUAGCUUCUGCAACGUGCACGUUGGCGCUGCCACCGUGGUUGCUUAAGCAAAUGCAUCCAACUGGAUCGUCCUUGUGCUAAAUAAUUGGAUAUCGUAUCCACUUAAAGCUGCCUUGUGUAGUACGUUUUUGUUUGUGUCUCUCUUUAUAUUCCAAUAAGGUCGGUGAUCUUGAUGCCACACACUCAGACGUGUGUUCAUCUCCAGAUACUACUCCAUGCUACCUGCCCUUUGUGUUUUGUUCAAUAACUGGGUAUCAUAUCCCAGCCAGUGUGCCAUCUGUUUUGUGUUUAUUUCCUUCUAGUUUCAAAGGGGUUAUCAU